CAGGAAAUUCAAUGCGUAAUCUUAGCAUUCAAUGUGUAUUCCUGAAUAAUCUCAUUUUUCAAUUAUUCAACCAUUUCAUUUUACCAAGUUCAAUGUUAGCCAGAUUAGUCAACAUUUAUAUGUGGAGACCCAGUCGGGAGAUGUUUCGGCUUAUAUUCCUACUAAUGUAAUUUCCAUUACUAUAGGAUCCUAUCCCAAUUUUUCUUUUGCUAGGCCCAUAGCUAAAAAACCUGGGGUUGCUUUUUCCAAUAAACGUUGGUUACAUUUCUUUAUGUUAUUUGUACCAGUAACUGGUUUAUGGAUGAGUGCUCUUGGAGUAGUCGGUCUGGCUAUCCACAUCACUUCUGCUUCUAUUGUAACAAAAGAUUCCCCUUUUUGAUACAUUUAUACAAAACUUCUACCCCGAGCACACGCAAUGGAGCCGUAGACAGUCAAGUGAAAUCCAAUACACGAAAUAAUUUGAUCUAUGGCAGUCGCCAAUCCCUAAAACGGACUAUGGAAUGUACUUUAUCCGACAUUUUUUUCUUUUUUUUACUAAUUCAAUUCUAUUACUUUUUAUAUUAUCACUAAUAUUUUAUUAACUAAUUUAAUUUACUGUUAUAUCAUCUAUAUAAAAAUUCGAAAUAGAUCAACCUCUGAUCAAAAAGAUAUACCUUGGUUCUAUUUCAUCUCUUCAACAAGUUUAGUAACUACAAUCAUUGGGGGAACAAUACCUAAACCUAAAGAUGCUCCAGAAUCUUUUCGAUUGCUCGUUCGAGAACUACGAUCUUUGUCUCUGGAACUGAAUCAUUUCCUUGUAUCUGAGAAGAACUUCCAGAUUAAUAGGAAGGAAGCGCUAUUGUAGGGGAUUUAUUGAAACCAUUGAAUUCAGAAUAUGGUAAAGUAGCUCCUGGAUGGGGAACUACUCCUUUGAUGGGUGUCGCAAUGGCUCUAUUUGCAGUAUUCCUAUCUAUUAUUUUGGAAAUGAUAUAGGUAUUUUGAGAAUACGCCUUAACGACCAAUGGUUAACAAUGGCUCUGAUGGGUGGUUUUGCUAGAAUAGGCAAUAAUGAGAUCACUAUUUUAGUAAAUGACGCGGAAACGUUUGUAAUUUUCUAAUUGUUCCAAGGUCUUAUAAGUUGACAAAAUGGAACUAAAGAAAACAAAAAAAUUAUUGGGGGGGGGGGGGUUGAAAUGGGGCGUGGCCAAGUGGUAAGGCAACGGGGAGUUCCUCUAUUCAAUCCUUUUCCUUCUUCUUGUUGCUACAUAUAUCGUUCGUACACAUCUUCUCUUUGUUUCCCGAGCCUAUAGUGAGUUACUUAAGCGGCAUCUGUUGAUGAAUGGUUAUACAACGGCGGUCCUUAUGAGCUAAUUUGCUCGAAUUGGAUCCUUUCGAUUUAGAAAUCGAAAAUAGACUACACUUACGAAGUUGUUCGAACUUAUUAAUUGGCACCUAAUCAAUCUAAUUCCGGAUCGAGUCAUGAGAUCCAAGUUGAGAGAGAUAAAUUGAACAAAUAUGGGCGUCCCCUAUUGGGAUGUACUAUUAAACCGAGCGCCUAUUGCCACAGCUGUAGAUAUAGGUAUUUUGAGAAUACGCCUUAACGACCAAUGGUUAACAAUGGCUCUGAUGGGUGGUUUUGUCACCUGUUUCAGCCUGUGAUUUAAAAAUGGCUUCGGCACAAAAUAUGAAACGGUCUCUCCAACGCAUAAAUGGUUGUGAGUUCACGUUCUCAUCAUCUUUCCGUGCUUUUAACCCAACUCAAGCUGAAGAAACUUAUUCAAUGGUCACCGCUAAUCGCUUUUGGUCCCAAAUCUUUGGGGUUGCACUGAUGAUAGAACUAGAAUAGAUAUUUUCUGUUUCCUACUCACACGAGCCCAUAUCCUUGCUUUUCGAUCAAUCUCUAAUUCUAAUCUUCCUCCCGAAGAAAUAGAUAUGCCUAGAUACUUUAUUCUAUGGAUAAAGGAUCUAAUUGAUAGAGAAAGCACCGUAAAGAUCAAUUAGUGAGGUUUUGGGCCGAUACAAUAAGAGCUAAUUUUUCAGGAAUUUUAGACCAAGCUUCUGAUAAACUUUGAUUUUUGGCUAGCCCAGCACCAACUCUUCGAUAUAUUUCUUGUUGGAAGUAUCCCAUCCAGGGGUCGCGGACCGACCAUAGAAUCCUGUGAGCAGUAAGGGUCGGAGAAGGGCAAUCACUCAUUCGGAAGCUAUUCCUGUAAUAGGAUCCCCUUUAGUAGAGUUAUUAAGCGUGAUUGGAUUUGAAGAGAGGAAUUGGCUUUAGUCACCAAUUCCAUUCCUGGCUUCACUCUCUCUAUGACUAGGUCAUAUCUAGUAUUCAGAGUUUGCCUCGAUUUGGUCUAUAUAAUAAAAAGGGUGGGUGUAAGAAUCCACAACUGAUCAUGUCCUUCAAGUCGCAAUGCCUAUUGUAUCGGCUUGCCCUUUCAUAAGGGGAGAUAGAAUAAAGCGUCCAUAAUAAAGACGCUUACUGUCUGCUCUUGAUUCAACUUUCGAGUACGCCGCUAUGGUGAAAUCGGUAGACACGCUGCUCUUAGGAAGCAAUGCUAGAGCAUCUCGGUUCAAGUCCGAGUGGCGGCAUGGCAUCUUCUAAAACAAAUGGAAUAUUCGCAUAUAUAAUUGUAAAUAUAUGUAAUAAUAUAUACAGGGGGGUAAUUCAUACAUCCUAUAUUCUAUCCCCUUGCUUUAAAUAAAAAUUAUUGAACGACCCACCAGUGAGAUACACACGAAAUACGUGCAGGAUCAUCAUUAGGACCAUCAUACUUGCCGACCAUCGAUGAACUGAUCGAAUUAACCAACCAAGCAUUUCCUGCUGCGAUUUGAGCAGCAAAUGGUGUCCCCCUUCUUGUACCAUUGAAUCCACAAGUACCGGCGGAGGACCAAGAAAUUACCCGACCCCGUACACCACCUGGUUUUAUCAAUUUGCAAAUUCUUCCUCAGUUAGUUAAAAGAAUGAAAUUGGCCGAUAUUAUGACAAUACUAGGUAGCAUAGAUAUCAUUAUGGAUUGAUUCAAUAUCGAUGAACCUAGAAAAAAGAAUUGAGGGUUGGAACGAGCAUAUAAAAAAAAUUCUUGGAAUUCCUUGGGGAUUCUUGAUUGGGGCUGAACUAACUAUAGUGCAAGUUCAACCAACCUAUUUUCAAAAUAUCAAGAUCAAGUGGAUGAAUAAAAAUCUUGAGCUUGAGAAAGUCCUUAAUUUGAUUUGCGUCGGGAUAUCUUAUUUGUCUCUCCAGGAAAAUGGAUAUCUCCAGAAAAGAUUUUCAGUUAGAACAUGGAGUGUGAAUCAAACCCAUGUUUGAAUUGAAAUUGAGAUACUGAUACAAGUUCUUCCCUUCUGAAUCAGAUAGAUUCAUAUCUGAAAGAGGUGAUUUCUACACACGUCUUUUUUUAGGAGGUCUACAGCCAUUAUGUGGCAUAAGGGUUACAUCAACCUUCUUUGGAUUUGCCAAAAUUUUUUGGAAUUCAUUUAUUUCUUUCAGGAGUGGCUUGCUCAAUGGAAACGUAAGAGAGGUCAAAUGAUACGUCAUCAGAUGAUUGUAGAAGGAAGGUGGUAGUUUAUAGAAAAAAAAGAAUGAAGAAUGAAAAAGAAGGAUAAAUUCAAAUAAAAAAGAAAAGUAAAGGGGUUGUAUCAGGAAUCCAAUUUUGGAUUCUGUAUGGAUAAAAGAUCUUCCUAAUGUUAUACUAUUCAAUUCUCGACGAUGAGGGUAUUCACUUAAUCUUGUUAGGUAUAGGUGCUUUUCUUCUAGCAGCAGUUGACUGGACAUCUAGGGGUAAAGCACUGUUUCGGUGCGGCUCUUAUACAUGCCGCUACUAUGGUAGCAGCGGACAUUUUUCUUGUAGCUCGACUUCUUCCUCUUUUUAUAAUCAUACCCAGUUCGCCAGGUUGUCUCUUGCCUGCCCAUGGAUUCAGCAGCAAUUCGAAAGGUUGACCUAUUCGGGAAUCUCCGGAUUUUUUUUUCGAAAGAUUUUCUUUUUUGAUAGAAAAGACAAAGGGAGUUCUUUUGGCUUAAAAUCCGAAUAAUAUUCAUUCAAAUAUAGAAAAGAUAGAUAUAGAGUAUCUUUUCUUUCUACUAUAUCUUCCGAGAAUCUCUAUAAUUCCCGAACUCUUUCUUCUGUAUCGAGGAUCGUCGAAAUAAGCAAGAAUACUAUUUCUACGUAAAAUUCCAUUUAUCGGUAGUUCAAUCGAGAUACCUGAAUGGGGCAUUAGUUCUUUCUUUCGUUCUUGAAUCGAUUGUAGUAUUGCCGAUACUAAGUAGCAGUCAAAAAUUUGUAUCCAUUUUUCAUGAUAUUAUGCAUGGAUCAUACGAUAUUUUCUGGGCAUUUCUAAUAAUAUCAAGUGUUAUUCCUAUUUUGGCAUUUUACCAGAUAAAUGAUCCUUUUUAUUUGACUGAUGAAGCUAACAAACAAUUCAAUAUAAAAAAAAUAGAAUUCUCUUUCCAUGAAUUUUCCAUUUCUCACUCAACGACAGAACUUUGCUUAACCAUUCUAUUUUAAAAAGGAAUAAUAAAAGAACUUUCCAAAAGAAACCCAAUUCAAUUAUUUGGAUUAAGAAAAAUAGAUGAAUUGAGUGAAACUAAAAAAGAAAAAAAUGGGGUAAUCAGCAACUUUUCCACUAUCACCCCCAAAAAACCAAACUCUGCCUUACGUAAAGUUGCCAGAGUACGAUUAACCUCUGGAUUUGAAAUCAGCUAUCCUCUUGCCUAGCAGGCAAAGAUUUACCUCCGCGGAAAGGAUGAUUCAUUCGUAUCAACUGUUUUAUUUUAGGUUUAUGAAAUUUCAAAAAUAAAGGAGUCUUUAUGUCGCGUUACCGAGGGCCUUGAAUAUUGUAUGUGUUCCUAAGAAAAGAAAAGGAAUUUGUCCAUUUUUCGGCGUUGCCAGCCGGUAAUAGCCGAAGGCAAAAAAAAAGUUUUGGAAUAAGGGCGAGAAUUGCUAUAUCCUCUAUUCAAAGGGGAGAAAUGAGUUUAGAUAUUUUGAUUACUCAAAAGGAUUUAACUCUUACAGAAUUAAUGAAAAAAGGUACACUUAAAGACUUUUAUUUCCUUAUCCAAGACUUAAUUUCGAAAAACAAUCCGUCGAAUACGCACUGAUAAUGGGAGAGAAUUUUUCAAUGCUGAGUGUGCAUCCUUAUUUUCUCUGCAUGGAAUCUUACAUGAGAGUUCCUGCACAUAUACACCACAGCAAAAUGGAGUUGUUGAAAGAAAGCAUCGUCAUCUCUUAGAAGUAGCACGAGCACUUAAAUUCCAAGCUUCCAUUCCUGAAAAUUUUUGGGGAGAUUGUGUGGUCACAACAGCAUAUCUAAUCAAUCGCAUGCCAUCACACAUUCUAAAGGGGAAGGCACCUUUCGAGUUAUUAUAUGGGAGGAAACCGGUUCUGAGUCAUCUCCGAGUUUUUGGGUGUCUAUGUUAUGUGACUACAAUGGGACAUAGAGAUAAGAUGGCACCUCGUGCUAGACAAUGCAUAUUCAUGGGUUAUCCAACCUUGCAAAAGGGAUAUCGGCUUUAUGAACCAUCUACAGGAGAUUUCUUUAUAAGCAGGGAUGUUGUCUUUUCAUGAAGAUGUUUUUCCUUUUUCGAAAUUCACUUCCUUAUCUGAAGAUGAGAAGACAAUGAAUAGGCAGUUUUUAUUGGAGGAGGACUUAUCUUCCGGAGGAAUGUUGGUUAUUACCUCUCCUCCAAAACCAACUGACAUCUUGUCUCCAAGGCCUCCUGAAAAUGAUGAUGAGGAUUUCAUUGAGCAGCCUCCUGCCAGCAUAGUUGGGGGAUAUUUCAGAAGCAAGAAUCACUGAUGAAUCAUCUUCAACAACACCACAUGAGCCACAACGACACUCCAGUCGAGCUACUCGUCCACCUACUUGGACGAAAGAUUAUGUAUGUGGCUCUUCACGAUCAUUAGGUACUCGUUACCCUAUCUCAUCUUAUAUUUCCUUUGAUCGGUUAUCAUCAGAACAUCUAUGUUGCAUAAGUCGCAUUUCUGAAGAUCGAGAACCUUCUGGUUAUGAUGAGGCCAAAAGUGAUCCUCGUUGGCAAAAGGCCAUGGAAUUUGAAUUACAUGCCUUGAUGGAGAAUCAUACUUGGGAUGUUGUGUCAUUACCUGCUACUCACAAAUCAAUUGGUUGCAAGUGGGUAUAUAAGAUUAAAUACAGAGCAGAUGGAUCUGUAGAAAGAUACAAAGCCUGGUUGGUAGCCAAAGGCUUCACACAACGAGAAGGUUUCGACUACCAUGAAACCUUCUCACCCGUAGCAAAGGAUGUCAUAGUUCGUGCUUUUCUAUCUAUUGCUGCUUUUCGUGACUGGGCACUACAUCAAAUGGACGUCCAUAAUGCCUUCUUGCAUGGUGACCUCGAUGAAGAAAUCUAUAUGGAGCUUCCACAAGGAUUACAGAGACGGGGGGAGUCGAAGGUAUGUCGUCUUCGCAAAUCUCUUUAUGGAUUAAAGCAAGCUUCUCGACAAUGGUACGCCAAGUUCACCAAUGCACUCAUGGCUGCUGGGUUCAAGCAGUCCAAGUACGACUAUGCCUUAUUCACAUGGACAAAAGGUAUGUCAUCUAUUUAUUUGAUGAUCUAUGUUGAUGACAUACUUAUCAUGGGAAAUGAUGAUUCCGUUAUAAAGAAACUCAAAGAGUAUUUGCAUUCCACUUUUCAUAUCAAAGACUUAGGACCACCUAAGUAUUUUCUUGGAAUUGAGAUAGCUCGUUCAGAUCAAGGGAUCUCAUUAAGCCGGCGGAAAUUUGUAAUGGAGAUCAUAUUAGAGGCAGGACUGUCAAGCUGUAAACCAUUAGCUAUCCCCAUCGAGCAAAAUGCCAAACUGAAAUCUAUCGAUUAUGAUAAUGGCAUAUCUUCUCCUUUUGAUGAUCCAUUAUUAAAAGAUCCCUCAGGAUAUCAGAGGCUCGUAGGGAAACAGAUAUACCUCACCAUGACUAGGCCAGACAUCUGUUAUGCAGUGCAAACUCUCAAUCAAUUUAUGCACAGUCCGAAGCAAUCUCACAUGAAUACAACAUUGAAGAUUGUGAGAUACUUGAAGACAUGUCCAGGCUUAGGAAUACUUCUUUCUUGAAAGUGCGACAUGGAAAUGACGGCCUAUUGCGAUGCAGAUUAUGCCAUAUGUCCUAUGAGCAGGAGGUCUAUCACAGGUUUCUGCAUCAAAUUUGGGGAAUCAUUACUUUCCUGGAAGACAAAGAAGCCAUCUACUGUGUCCUUGUCUUAAGCUAAAGCUGAAUACCGAUCUAUGGCCAAGACUGUUUGUGAAGUAGUCUGGUUAAGGGGUCUUCUACUAGAUCUCGGAGCACAGGUUAAAGGACCAACUUUACUCUUCUGUGACAACGAUUCAGCACUCAAACUUCCAGCAAAUCCUAUACUGCAUGAGAGGACAAAGCAUAUAGAAGUCGAUUGUCAUUUUACUCGAGAAAAGAUUCAGGAAGGAGUUGUUGAGACAAGGGGGAUCAGAACCUCAUAGCAGCUCGCGGAUAUAUUUACUAGGCCUCUUUGUCAAAGACAACAUGCAUAUCUUCUAAACAAGCUAGGCAUCUUAGAUAUAUACAAGCUACCAGCUUGAGGGGGAGUGUUGGAAGAUAUGAUUCUGUAAUUUUGUAUGAUAAGCAAUUAAGUUUAUUUUAGGAUUAGAAAGAGAGGAAAAGAUAAGAGAAUAUUGCUUUUCCUUUAUUAAUUCUUUCUUUGUAAUUAAAUACAUGAUACUAUACAGAAAUUACAAUUCAAUUGAAUGAAGAAACAACUUCUUCUUCUUCAUCAUCGGUUCCUCACGAAUCCAGUAGAUACACUACUUUGCUGCAUCUCCUUUUGUGACAAAUUAACCAAGAACUCAAUGAAAUCCUCAAUGUGGGUGGGGUCAAACUUCAAGUACCUCAUGUAAACCCUGAGCGGAGUCUCGAUGGGCAUGCCGCUCUGGCUGACGAACACGAGGUAGGGCUCCCAGAUACGGUCGUGCUGUGUGACGGGGAGCGCGCAUAGCGCCCGAUCGAAGGUAUGCCGGGUGCAAGUGACCAGCUUUGGCAUCGUGAGGGUCUGGAGGUACAUGAUCCAAAUCCGGGGCAUCUUGUGUAUCGUCACUAGGGCACGCUCGAACGUGUUGUCCAGGGUCUUGUACUGGGAGUGGAUGAUGGUGAGGCUUCGGACGAUCUCGAGGUGCUCGCGGAGGUAGGCGUGCCAGAGCUUGUAGCUGCUGGGGAGGGCCUUGAGGGCGCGCUCGUAGAUGACAAAGCGCUUCUUGAAAGGGGAAUCGGCCCGGAUGAUGAGGUAGUGCCACCACAGCUUGAGGCUGAAGGGGUUGCGUAGGAGUUCCUCCUCAUAGAGCAAGUCGUCCUGCGACAGGUACAGCUCCUUGGGUAUUGACAUCGCUGGAACCCGGAAAAACCCAGAAAACCCUCGAGCGCCCAGAGAGGGAGGAGGCGGAAAGCAACAAUCUUGCGCGCAGCGACGGUGCUUGGAGAGAGAAUUCAAUCGGAACUUCCGGAGUCCGGCGAGAGGGGUAGCGAGGGAGGUCGGUCGUCGCUCUUUCUCUCGUCGGGAAAUCAACGGCGGCGGUGCGCCAUGAGCGGGAGGAGGCCCUGGUGGGGGAAAAGCCCUAGUCUUUCUGGCAAGGAGGAUGGUGAAUUUGGGGAUCUUCGCAGCAAUGGCGUCUAUCUCUCUGUGAUCUCGCAGAGGUCGAAUUGCGGGAGGAAGAAGAGGGAUUUGGUGUUUUGCUCUCAGUAUUCUUCAGCGCAAUUACUCCUAAGUUCAUUAUCUUUUUAUAAAUCCGUGAACAUGUGACGAAUUAUGGGUGAACAUGGCCCUAAUGGGCGAGAAUUACCCAUUAAAAGACUGAUUGCAAAAAAUUGAAACUAACACCUUCCUAUUGGUUGGACUGCCGGUUUAGCCCCGUUUUCGAGUAAGUCCAUAAACCAGUCCUAUUCCCUACAAAGCUUAUUUGGCCUUAUAUUCGGGUUAAAUUGCAAGCCAUUAAAUUUGAUUCAUAAUUAAAAACUAUAAGGCAAAAUGAACAAAUACUACUUGCUAACUAAAAACUUAAUCUCUUCGAAAGUCGUGGUAUGUUCCUCUUAAGGUUUCCCGAUACUAGAUAUAUGCGAAGAACAUUGAUCGCUUGAUUCAUUUUUUUUUUAACAUCAAUCUAAUUUAUUUAAUUAUACUCUUAAAACAAGCUAUUGGCUUUUAUGGACACGUUCUCUCCUUCCUCUCCCUUUGUUCAUUUUAUUUUGAUUGAGGAAGCAAAUAAAUGGAUUAUUAGAAUGAAAAGAAGAAGAAGAAGAAGAAGAAGAAGAAGAAGGAGGAGUAGGGGGUUAAUUCUAUUACAUACCCAAAAGAUAAAAUUAGUCAAUAAUUUUUUAUAAUUACAAAUGUAUAUGUACAUAUAUAUUUGGUUGAAAAAUUAAAAAAUAAUGAAGUGAUUGAGAUGGAAUUUCUUUUUUAAACAUAUAUAUAUAUAUAUAUACACUUAGGGGUGAGCAGCGGUCUAGGGUCGACCUUGGACCAACCUUGGACCGGCUCAACCCUGUCGGUCCUGGUCCGGUUCCCAAGGGGACUGGGUCGGUCCUUGGUCCUGAAAUUCUAGGACCAACAUUGUGCAAGUUGGUCCUCGGUCCUAAGAGUUUUUGGUUGGUCCAACCCUGGACCAAGAUUGUAUAUUAUAUUAUAUUAUAUUAUAUUAUAUUAUAUUAUAUUAUAUUAUUUAUAAUUCUAUUAUAUAUUCAAACCUAAGUAAAAUGUUUGUUAUAUUUUAUUAUAUUGAAAUGUUCUAUCAAUAUUACUAAUAGUAAUUUCAAUUUAAAACUUUUGUUGAGUAUUAAUUAAGUGUCGUUUGUUUUGUUUUCAGGUGUUUGUAAGUUCAAGUGAAUUAACAAGAUGUGGAGUUAUAUAUUCAUGGUUUAUAUUAAGUAUUUUGAACUUUUUAUGGUUUAAUUAUAUUUUACUAAUGAAUUUCAGGUGCACUUUGCUUUUCAAUUUGUGUCAAAUGGUAGAAGUUUUUGAAGAGUAGAGUAGUACUGCAGUUGCUACGGUGAUUUGCUAGUCAAGUGGUGUGAAGCUCAUUUUUUGGUUGAGACUCUACAUGAUCAAAGGCAAGAAAACGCUUUUGCAUAUGAUGUUAUGAAUAUUAAAGAUAGAUGAUUACAAGAACUUUCCAUCUUGUCCCAUAUCUCGAUGAACGGUUAGUAGGUACGAAAUUUUUAUUAUUGUGUCAUAUUAAAUUUGCUAAAUAUGUAUUGGUAUUUAUAGUUUAGUUGCACAAUGUCGCAUUAUUGAUGGAUGUGUAAUUUGAAUUUGUAAGUUCACUUUUUUAAGGAGUAUAAAAAAUAAAACGAAAAGAAUUAUCGAUCGGUCUCGGGUUGACCCUGGAACCGGACCAGAUCAACCGAACCCAUUGGGUCAGUUCAGUCCUUGGUCCCAGGCUCAAUAGGGUUGGUCCUCGGUCCUAAAAAUUGAGGACCGGCACUAUACGAGUUGGUCCUAGGGUUAGGGGGUGGCCCGGACCAACCCGGACCAUGCUCACCCCUAUAUACACUACUCUGGUUUGGCUGGGUAAGUGGGCAAUUUCACGCCAAGAACCGGAUCGACUCCCAUGGGAGUUGUUGGUCUGGUCCUAUCCAAACUAGUUCCGGCUAGUUCAAGUAGUUCUCGAUUCUUUUACACACUCUUAGCUUUUAAAGACGUGUUUGAUAACCGGUCAAUUUUUAACUAUUUCUAAAAACAAAAUAAGAAUAUAAAUCAAUUUGGUAAAGUAAACUAAUUUUUCUAUUCCCAGGAAUAGAUCAGUGGUAAGGGAAUAAAUUUGGAACAUGAUUUGAAAGUAGAAAUUUUUUUAUUUUUUUAUUCUCGAGAAUGAUUCUAUAAUCAAUCCAUUUUCUUUUUUAUUCUUUUCUUCUUCCUCCUCCUUUAAUUGGUUGCCGGUCUCAGCAAUGGUUUGGUGACCUCAUUGAAGUCUCACUGACCCUUGGCGCCAGCCAUUGCCAAGGGGCAACCAACUAUAGGAAGAAGAAGAAAAAUAGGAAAAAAGAUAAGAAAAAAGAAAAAUCUCAAAAAAAAAAUUAAAAGAUAUUUUACUUCAUACAAAAAAUUAAGGGUAAGACUAAAUGCAUUUAUUUUUUUUUUCUAUUUCAGGAAUAAAAAUUAUGUAUCUAUCAAACAAGUUUAAAUACUCAAAAAUUUGUUCAAUAACAACAUCCGAAAAACUAUUUGUGACUAGAAAUUGUUUUAAAAAAUAGCAUGGUUAUCAGACGUAUCAUAAGACCCGUUUGGUCAAAGAAAAACUAUUUUCAAAAAAUUAUAUUUCAACUUUUCAGUAUUUGGGUUAUCGAAAAUAAAUAAAAAUGUUUUCCAUUAAUUAAAAACAACGACCUUGGAUUGGGAGAAAUUGAAGGAAAAUCACUUUUCCAAGGCUCCUAGUGUCACGAUUCAAACUCCGGGCACAUGCACAUCCCUCAAUGGUCGAUGAAAGUUUGCAACAUCCUAGGAAUUGUUGUCAACCCAUUCAUUAUUUUGCGCAUGCAGAAACGUAAAACAAUCUCCAUACAACAUAACAGUGGGAUAGAAACGUAGAAUAAUAUUUUCACAAACCACACCUACAAUACAGUAGUACUUAUAUACAGACCAGUUUAACACCCAAGGUCUAAUAUAAAAAGUGAAGCUAUUCGGCUACCUAUGCGCUAAGCUUCCAUUUACAAGUUCGCUAUUAUACUAUCAUACUUCUCGACCUCUGUAGGGUGAACUGUCACUCAUCAUCCAGCCUUGACAGAAGACCCGUCACCACAUGAGAGAAUAUUGUGAGAAACCUACACUUCCCUUCCUGUAGACCCCUGUACACGACCUAGCAUUCCUCCAUCUAGGGACCUAAAAAUUUUAACCCACUAAGGGGUGAGAUCACAUCUUAGCGAGUUAAUCCCCUAAAUCCAGAGUAGGAGAAGUGUACACUCUACAUGCAAUCUAAUCAUGUUUCUCACAACUCUUUCAUACCAGUCUUUCCCUACAUGUUAGUGCCGAUCAAAUCAUACAUACAAUAUCGAGUUUUUACAUCAUAUGAAUACCGUAACACGAGUAUGUGCAAAGACAUAAAUAUCAACAUAAGUACACAGGCCCCCAAUUACCAGACAAAACCGUUAUGGCACGUCCCAUACAUCACCACACAGUUCCGUUUUUUAAUUAGGUUCCUUGCUUUAACUCAUUCAUGUGUCAAAAAUGAUUUUAAUGUAUAGAUAACAGUCUUCUAGCAUAAUCAGGUAUCGUCUCGCACUGUCGAGCACGACAACGUCUAUAUCUAGACGGCAUUCCAUAUAGGAGCAUCGGCCCAACAUCUACUACGACCAGCAUCCAUUAACGUGGGGCAUUCUCGAAAGAGCAUCAUCUAGCCCUAAAGGCUCGUGAUGGAAUCUCAUGUCAUAUAUGCAUCCACCCAAUAUCACAAUUCAAUGAUCAAUUGCACAUUUCAUUCAUAACAUCAAUUGAGCAAUUUUUCAGCAAGAAACACUUUGAGGAUAAUUACAACCGGAAUUAGCAGAAACUAUCCACUUGUGCCCUUUCAAGUUUAACACCAUAAACCAUCUCAAAUGAGUUCGAAAAAUUCUCAAAAUUGAACAUGUGAUAAAGGGUACGUAAAAAAAUAUUUUUUUAUGAAGACACCGAGACCCAGAUUGUUCUGGAUUCGGCCUAGUAGUUCACUCAAUCCAACACUAAAAUCGGGUCCGUUUCCAGCGGUUCUGUUUUCCAAAAUCAGCUUGGUUCGAGGACUGAAAUAGGUCCAUUUGGUCUGAAAUUCGAGUAUAUUCAACUAGAAGAUGUAACAAAUAACUUUUAUGAAUAACUCAUUUUUAAAAUCGAACCCAAAGGAUUAGUAACAACCCAUAGAAUCCUUACAGGUCGCAAAUUCCAGUGCAAUUUGAGUUUCUGUUUAAAGACAACAAAGCCAAAAUAAUUUUCCUUUAAAUCCCCAAAAAUCUUGAGAAAAAUGUAUGUUAUAAUUGAAGAUGUUUAAAACAUUUCUUCAGAAGGAAAUUCUUCAAAAUCGCAACAUAUAUCAGUCUACAAAAAUAGCAAAUCACGCACAUCUAGAAAAUAGUUUCAAGAAACAACCCCUAUCUUUGGCCGAAUCAUCCUCUACAGUUCUUAUCUUGUCCUUUAAACCACAACUAAACCUUUCUAUGGCUAAUCUAACAUUUCUAACUAACACCCAACUAUAUGUAAUAUCAUCUACACCUUUCUUACUUGGAUGAAUUCCUAAAUAGAGGUAAACAAACCCUUUUCCAGAUUUAGGAAAAUAACUCACCAAUGCUAGAACCACGCACUUCCUGUGCCGGCGGCAUGACGGCGACGAAAUCACAAGGCUUGCAACUCGAACGGUGACGGUUCGUUGAAGUUGAGCUCAAAGCCAAGGGUGCUCGGCUUGAGCGGAUGGUGAGGAUGAUGGUGAGUCAAGUGGGUGAUGAAGCUAUAGAAAAUGAAAGCAAAUAAAUGGAGGUGAAAGAAGGACGGGGUGCUACAGUAGAAAUGGAGAAUGCGUGAGGGGGGAGAAAAGGAAAAGAAGAGGGGAGGUGAUGUCGUCGAGAGCAGAAAAGGGGGGAAGAGGAGAGAGAAAGAAUAAAGUAAUGGAGGGGAAGUUGCGGGGUAAUUGCAGUAGAAGGGUUGGCGUAGGUGAGGGGGUGGAAAAGUGGGAGAGAGAGAGAGGGAGAAAAAGAAGAAAGAGAGAAGAAAAGACAACAGAAGAAGUUACCGUAAGUGAGGGGGUGGAAAUUGCGUGCGAAGGAGGGGGAUGCGUGAAGGAGAAGAGAAAGAGGAGAGAGAGAGAAGAAAAAGAAUAAUAGUAAUAUCGUUAUCAUUUUUCUCUUUCUUUCAAUCACCGAUUUUUCAUGCGAUAAUUUUUUUUUCCGAAAUUUCGGGAUGUCACACCUAGGCUACCAAAUAGAUAAAAACCAAUCCAUGGAUUUUUUUUUUUCCUUUUAUGAUCAAGUUUUCAAUGAAACAAAUGCACUCUUAUCAUAUUAUUGUAACAUUUAAUGUAUUGAACUCGCAAUACCUUCUUAAUUGAUUUUUUUUGGGAAAAGUGUCAAUUUAAUCUUUAACUUUUAAUUAUAUCAAUUUAGUCAUAAAACCUUUUAAUCUGAUAUCAAUUCAAUUAUUCUAGCUAAUUUUUGCUAAAUAUUGUUAACGUGGAUAAUUUUUUAAAAUAUAUAUUUUAAUUUUUUUGAAUAUUUUUAUGAAUUUUGUCUUUUCUUUCCUUCUUUUUUCUUCCUUUCUUUUUCCUUCUUCACCUAGGUGAGAGUCAUCGUUGCCUGCUAGAGGCAAGGCUUGAUCGGGUGAGGGCCAAGUGAGGGAUCCCCUCACCCAAGCCAUGGCAACCUUAUUGGGUGUCACCUUUGCUUAGGUGACGGUUGGCCUUACCAGAUCUAGCAAAAGAAGCCCUUGGCUGGUUGAGUGUCACCUUUGGUGAGUAAUGAUAACCCUUGCCCAAGUGAGGCCAACUCACCCGGCUAUGGCCAAUGGCCAAUCAACAACAAAAGGAAGAAGAAAUGAAGAAAAAAGAAAAAAAUAUAUUAUUAAAAAUUAUUCAUGUCAACAAUAUCCCAUUAAAAUUAGUUAAAUUGGCACUAAAUAAAAAUUUUAUAAAUAAAUUGACACAAUUGAAAAGUUUAAAACUAAAUUGGCAUAUAUGUAAUAAGUUUAUGAAUUUUCUAACACUUUUCCCUUGAUUUUUUUUAUAUUAUUACUACACUUUUAUGUCUAAUGUGCAUACCAAAUCACAAUUGUUUCGGGGUGUUUUAAAUUUACAAUGUAAAUAUUUUUAUGAAAUGGUUUUUCAAACUUUCCUGCAUUUAGUUUGUUGAGAGUAUGGUAAAAAGAAAUGCUUUCAUGUUGUUGGAUUGCCAAAAAAACUCUCUAUUGGUAUUCCCUCCUGUUUGUUUAUUUGCUGUGGUAUCACUCUUCAAGUUCUUUUUUUGGAAUGGAGAACCAUUCUCAUGUGAAGUUUUAUGAGAAUUGAAAGAUUAAGUUUGCAAAUGAUUACAUUUAUCUUGUUUUGGCAUCUUUUUUAGGUUGUUUUAUUUCAAUAAAAAAAGGUAAUAUUCGUAUCCAAAAUAUUAGUAAUAUAAUCUUAGUAUCUUAUAUUAAGAACAAAAUAUAAUUAUCAUAAAAAUGAUUAUUUUUUAAAAUAAGAUCUAAACACCAAAAGUCAAUUCAAGUGAAAGUUUCUCUAGCCGGUGUUGUGGUCCAAUCAACAUCCCUCUGUUAAGAAGGCUAUUUCUAUGGUCGCUCAAUAGUACACAUCAAUUGACUUGAGAACAGUGUCAAGAAGAAACACACCCUAAUAUAUUAGCUAGUGAACAUUGAUCUAUGUUCAUCAGCUAAUAUAUAAGUGGAUCUACUCAUGUAUCAAAUCAACUAUGAGGGUAGCAACGCACUAGGUCAAGGCUCGGGUAGGAAGUGGAGGGUGCAAAGGGCUUUGUAGGCUAAGCCUAGAGUGAUUUUUCGGCACGCCCAAAUAGAUAGAGACUAAAUUUUAUGGGCUCAAUCAGUGGCCUAGACCUAAAUCACAAAUUAUUUGGGUGAAUCAGUUCGGUGGGGCUAUUUCAGGUCAAAGCCCAACUUUUCCAAGAAUGAAGUUUGUUUAUUUAUUGUCAAAUUUGAAAACUUCGAUAAGCAACGGACUAAUUAAUGUGAAGUUAUUUAUAACUAUAUAAAUGUCACCUAAAGAAAUGGAAUCUACGCACCUCAAUUUUGAUGGGACAUAAGCUUAGAUUAGGGUAGAGUUAAUUGUCCCGCAAACACAAUCAAAAUAAGACACUGUCAGAACUUGUUUAAGGUUCAAUAAUCAAAUAUAAUUCAUCUACUUAAAUGGCUUAGUGAACUAAUCUCAAAGUUUGGUUUGAUAUAAAUUCAAAGUAAAUAAAAGUAUAGGGGCAAUAUUACACAUUGAACAUACAAUUAAUAAUGAUAGUACUAAUAAAAGGCCAUUGCUUUUGGUGGGAAGAAGUAUUCAGAGUUCACGUAUAAUCACUUGAAAGUGGUGCUUAGACCAGAAAAGAUACUAAAGAUUUGGCCUUUCCUCAGCACGGCUGAGUUUACGUAUGGAACCUUCACCCGUGUUCUCUCGCCAACCCAAAUCGCACGGCCUUAAAUCAUUUGAUUGCACCACACUUGGACUUCGUUUGAUGUCUUGGAUAACACGUGAGGAAUCCGAAUUUGUGGACAGAACUGUGCAACUAUGACGCUGAGUCAAAUUUGAACAGCGGCGAGGAAUAAGCCCCCCGUGGAACAGUCAAUGAAGAUGUGGUCUUCUGAAAACCCUCGUGUUUCAGCCCCCUUUGAGGACCAAGGCCUCUUGGCUCAUCGGAAAUCUAGUUCAUCUAUCCUUACAUCUGCAGAAAGUGCAGAAUCAACCGAUCCACCAAACUCACUAGGUUCAUUCAGUCAUUCUUAUCAUGCGGCUCAUGAUUUCUUGGUGCUCUUGCUUGGUCAUCUUCUGCCUUCUGCAGGCAAGUCAUAGGACCAGCGGUGUAGCUUACAAUAUUACUCCAUCGGAGCCGCUCUUUCCGAACCAAACUCUUGUCUCCUCUGGCAAUAUAUUCGAGCUUGGGUUCUUCACGCUGAGCGGGUCAGAAAAUCAGUAUAUUGGCAUACGGUACAAGAACUUGACGCCUUCUAAGAUUGUGUGGGUGGCCAAUAGGGAACAGCCACUUCCGUACACGGAUCGGUCUGCAAAAUUAACGAUAGGCAGUGAUGGGAAUUUGAAGCUCAUGGAUGGACAAGAAAAUAUAGUUUGGUCUACCAAUGUCUCUAGUCGGUCCAAUUAUACGUUGGCGGUGCUAUUAGAUAGUGGGAAUUUUGUUCUGCAAGAUGGCAUUUAUGGCGAAAUAUGGGGAAGCUUCGAGGAUCCGACAGACACUCUUCUUCCAACAAUGAAGAUAGGAGUAAAUGUCAGGACUGGAGUGAAAAAGUUCUUAAUUUCCUGGAGAAGCGACAGUGAUCCAUUCCCUGGAAGUUUCUCGACUGGAAUGACAUCCGAGACGCCGCCUCAAGCUUUCACUUGGAAUGGUUUGACCCCUUACUGGAGAGGCGGGCAAUGGGACAAAUCGAAAUUUAUCGGCAUAGCAACCAUGGACCAAUCAUACUCGAGUGGCUUCACUGUCCAGCAGGAUACUCAAAAGGGAACCACUUACUAUUCGGUAAAUAGAUACGAUAUCUUUCUAUACAUGUUCAUUUCUCCCGGAGGAUCUCUCACGAUAAUGUACUGGGAUGAUGGAGCUAGGGCAUGGUUGAUGGAUUGGGCAGCACCGAACAAUACUUGUGAGAUUUAUGGAACUUGUGGUCCAUUUGGAGUUUGUAACUCAUUGAAUUCGCCUAUUUGCAGAUGCAUAGAUGGGUUUGUGCCAAAGUCAAAUGAAGAAUGGAACAGUUUAAACUGGACCAGAGGAUGUGAAAGAGAGAUGGAAUUGAAUUGCCAGAAAAACACAAGCACAUCGACUUAUACAAAUGUAAAGAAAGAUGCAUUUUGGCAAAUGAGCCAGAUGAAACUACCCGACUCUGGGAACUAUAUAUCAGACAUUGGAGAUGAAGAAGAAUGUGAAAGCUGGUGCCGGAGCAAUUGUUCUUGCUUGGCUUAUUCUUACGUCAGCACCAUUGGAUGCAUGGUUUGGAGUAAAGACCUCAUUGAUCUUCAGGAAUUUCCCACAGCUGGGGAAGAUCUAUUUGUUCGAGUUGCACAUGUAAAAGCAGGUUAGAAAUUUGUUUCAUUAAGAUGAGUUUGAGUCGACACCAAUCAUCUUUUACAUAACUCUCUUUCCCAUUUCAGGAGGAUCGCGACACAAAGCAGUUAUCAUCAGCCUGAGUACUAUUGCAGGGAUUAUUUUCUUUGCAGUAUUUGUUUUUGUUCUUUGCAAAUGGAGAGCUAACAAAACAGGUACUAUUGAAAAGCUAUAUCAGUGUUGUUAGAGUAAUGUGCACGCUAUGAAAAAAGUAAGCUAAUUCUUCAUCAAUGAUAAACACAGGAAACUUUCGAAGGCUCCUUGACUCAGCAGAUACACCUGAAAAAUCGACCGAGCUGACACAAGGAAAUGCAUGGCAAAAGCAGUUGAAGCAAGAUGAUUCACUGGAAUUGACCCUUUAUAGUUUUGAUAGCAUACUACUUGCUACAAACAAGUUCAGCACGACAAGUAAACUCGGGCAAGGAGGGUUUGGCUCUGUUUAUAAGGUAAGACCAUUCUGCAGGACAUUGUUAAUGAAAAUAUUUCAAGGUCUAAAAGCUAUGUGAAUUACGAAACAGGGGAAGCUGAAAGAUGGGAAAGAGGUAGCUGUGAAAAGACUUUCCAGUACCUCAGCCCAAGGCGUUGAAGAGUUCAAGAAUGAGAUCAUCCUUAUAUCGAAACUCCAGCAUCGAAAUCUUGUUAAACUCGUGGGUUACUGCAUUGAAGGAGAAGAAAAGAUUUUGGUAUAUGAGUACUUGUCGAAUAAAAGCUUGGACACCUUUCUUUUUGGUUGGUCUUUUUUAUUUAUUUAUUUAUCUCGGAUUAACUAUUUUUCUAUAAUGUAUUUUCUGCCAUAGCAUAUAAACUUGAAAACUAUUCCUGUCUGUCAUGUUUGUUAGAUUCAAGAAAGAAGGCAGAACUUGACUGGGGCAAACGAUUUCAAAUAAUUCAGGAGAUUGCAAGGGGGCUGCUCUACCUCCAUCGAGAUUCUUGCCUUAGGGUCAUACAUCGAGACUUGAAAGUAAGCAACAUUCUCUUGGAUGAAAAGAUGAACCCGAAAAUUUCAGAUUUUGGGCUAGCACGAAUGUUUGAGGGCACUCAAGUUUUGGUGAACACUCAAAAAAUUGUUGGAACACUGUAAGCUCUCUAGGCCUAUUUGAAUUAUCAAUUCAUUGAGUCAAUCUCUUCAAGCAGACAGAAAUGAUUGAUUUACCACAACGAACAUCUCUGUUCAUGCAUUUUUAUCCCCAUUGUCUAUCAAUACAAUCAAAGAGUACAUAAACAUGUUUAACUUAACUGCAGUGGCUAUAUGUCUCCUGAGUACGCCAUGGGUGGAAUAUUUUCCGAGAGGUCCGAUGUCUAUAGCUUUGGAGUGUUGCUACUUGAGAUAGUAAGCGGCAAAAAGAACACGGCCCUGUAUGACCAGGGACAUCUGAAUCUCCUUUCCUACGUACGUCCCAAAUUCCAAACUUAAUCAAUAUCGUAAGUUUGCUGCAAUAUUAUGACAGUGUUCUCACUUACAGGCAUGGCAAUUGUGGAGUGAUGGCAAAGCAUUGGACCUAACGGAUGUAGCAAUGGCUGUUAGCUCUCAUUUGGAGGUAACGAGAUGCAUCCAUGUUGGGCUUCUCUGUGUUCAGGACCAUGCCACGGAUAGACCAAACAUGUCGAAUGUGGUUCUGAUGUUAAGUGGCGAGUCAGAUCUUCCUCAGCCGAGGCAGCCUAUAUUCACUUUCCAAGCUGAAAUGCCAAAUCGUUCUAUUCCAUCACAGCAAGAAAGCAUCCGGUCUGUUAACACUAUCACUAAUACAGUGGUCGAAGGAAGAUGACUAUCUAUUUUCAUUUUUCUUUUUCUUUUUUUUGGAGAUGACUUUGUUGUUAUUUUUUAAGAUUUUAGUGUUAAUUCAAUUCAAGGAUGGCUUUAGUCCACUCUGAACAAAAGGUCGAACGGGCUGCUCCCCUUUAUACAAGGAUUUUAGGCUGCAAAGUAGGGGUUUAAAUUGUGUACUUUUUUGACAUAACAUAAUCGAUGCAGCAAUUUGUUCUAAUUUACAGUAGCCAGAACUGUUGUUAUAAUUAAGGAGAACUACCGAGUAAUUGCCAUCACUCUCAUCACCAGUUGUAUUUUGAAGAUUCGAUUUCCUGGGUUUUUGGACAAAAGAUAUCAUUACCAAAGAUAGACUAAAGUCCCCCCAAGAGAAGCAUGAGCAUUGGCAUAGGACAAAGUAUUUCCAGCUUCAGUAUGAUCCCCAUAUAUGAAUUACGUUCUUCAGAGUUGAUAAGAAGUCAUCUAUGCCUGCGGCAAUUAAAUGCCAGCUAGUGAUCAAUUCAUUGACUGAACAAUUCAAGUCGGAAAAGCUUCGCAUGAAAAUGGAAGGCUAAUGUCAGCUAGUGAUCAAAAUCGGAGCUAUGUGAUCCUUAAACUGAAGAGCUGAAGAGUUCCUGAUUUGCUUGGAACCCAUAUAAUAUCUAGCUUCAUUGAACAUUAAACUUGUGGGGAAAAUUACCUUAUUAAUCCUAAACCUUUUGUAGAAAUGCGAAUUCAUUCCUAAUUUUUUUUUUUUUUGAAUUUUGCAAAUUUAGUCCCUAUGCAAAAUUCCAAUGUAGUCAUUCUGGACAAUUUUUGUUGGAAAUCGCUAGAGACGGCGAUGACUAGAUUAUUACGUUAGUGAUUUUUAGCAAAAAUUAGCCGGAAAGACAGAGUAUUUUUUGCAAAGGUUAAAUUGGCAAAAUUGAAAAGUUUUAGACGGAAUUGACAUUUGUGUAACAGAUUUAGGAUUAAUUGGACUAUUUCCCCGAAACUUGUGUUAUUGCAUUGACAAAACAUUUGGCCAACAAGUUUCAUCCGAAGCCGUUUCGACCCCUCUUAUUAUUAUUUGUUCAUUUUAAAGUACAGUCAACUUGGAACAACGGUCAAGAGAAAACGCCGAUUUUAUUGGCUUCUCAUCCAAAAAAACAGUUUUUAAAAGCCAACAUUUGACUCACGAUGAAGCUUCUAUUGCAUAAUCUAGACUGACUUGUCAAAUUGCAAUGACAUCCUAAUCUCUUGGCAUUCUGGAAAUGCAUAUGAACUGGCAUAGGCAUCAUCGGCUUCCGAUAUAAAGCUAAUUUUGUACGAUAACAAGACAUCUGAAGCUAUCUCUAAGAGGAUUUAUGGCCUCACACCUUUGGCAAAGUGUAUCGGUUUGCAAAAAUCUCGCCUUCCUAUUAGAUCUGCAGGCGAAACCGAAAGGCGAAGAAUCGGGAGCCCCUUAACAUCCUGAAGUAAGCAACAACCAAACACAGUAGGCUCCUAUGACAAUGUUGCUUAAGAUGUGUCGCUAUUCUUCCUUGGUCUUGGUCUUCCUUCUUCAGGCACAUCAUAGCACUGCGGUUUAUAACAUUACUGCAGCCGAACCACUCUUUCAUAACCAAACUCUUGUCUCCUCUGGUCAAACCUUUGAGCUCGGUUUCUUCACCCCCAACAGAUCAGCUAAUCAAUAUGUGGGCAUAUGGUACCAGAAUGUGACUCCUUCCAAGAUCAUCUGGGUCGCCAAUAGAUAUACACUUGCUUGCAUAUUUAGAUCAUUCAGCAAAAUUAACAAUAGGCAGGGAUGGGAAUUUGAAGCUUGGUGGACGAGCAAUAGAAGGUAGUUUGGUCCACCAAUGUUUCUGUUCAGUCAAACUAUACUACAACAAUGCUUUCAGAUGUAGGAAACUUCGUUCUACAAGACAGGAAUUCCAUUGAAAUAUGGGCAAGCUUUGAUGAUCCAACUGAUACUUGAUAAAGCUAGUACUAACACCUAGAUGGGGUGAAUAGGUAUUUGAAAGAAAUCUUAACAAAUAAAAUAAAUUGCUCACAAAGUCUAGAUGAAAAUCAGAAUCACGAGAUUCCAAACUUCUAUGAUGUUCAGAAGGUGUGCAAUAGACUUUAAAUGAAUGAGAUAAAAAGAGAAAUGUACACACAAAUUUUAUAGUGAUUCAGCUUAAAUCAAGCCUACGUCCACUCUCCCACGCUGACAGCCUACUCGCUAGAUUCUACUAUAUGAUCAAUCAAGAAGUUACAACUUGGUGAGCAAAUAGUCAAUGAUAGAAAUUUUCUAACUCAGAGAUUUUUUUUUUUUUUUCUCUCUAGAUCACACUUUUUAAAGCUCAUAGAUGAAAACUAAUAAAAUGAGAGUAGCCUUAGACUUUGGAAUCUCAAAUUCACAUUCCCACACCGAAUAAACUCCUUUAAAUACUCAUUCACCCCAUACUAGCCUCUAGUAAUCUUUGGAGAAACUUUUUUCUAAUCAAGCUGUUGGACAUAAUCAAUUAAAGGAAUCUUGUGGCUGUUGAAGUUAGGAAUAUAAUUUCACUUGAUUUUGUUCACCCAUAUAAUCAUAAUCUUGGUUUCCAUAAAUAGAUACUUCCCAAGAAGAAAGUUGUCUUCAAGAUUGAUUUCAUCAAUUUGUGAUUGAUUUUAUCAACGAAUUUAUAUAAGGUAAGUGAAAUCCUUCGCUAGAAAGCUAGACAACGUAGAAUAAUUUCCUAAUAAGUUCAUUAUGGAUCUGUGUCGCAAAAUUGAUAAGUUUGAAUUUGUACUCUUCCUCAUUCUGGACACGAUCUCGUUCUGGACUUUGUUAGAAUGGGAAGAGUUUCUGAGAAUGAAUAGACUUUGCUAGAGGCAAGGCCUGAUUAGGUGCUGGCAAACCCUAGUGAGGGAUCCCCUCACCCAAGUCAUGGUAACCUUGUUGGGUGUCACCUUUGCUUAGGCAACACUCAGUGAGGGCUAGCCUUGCCAGAUCUAACAAAAGGAGCCCUCGCCUGAUCGAGCGUCGCCUUUGGUGAGUGACAGUAACCCUCACCCAAGUGAGGCCAACUCACCCGGCUAUGGCCAGUGGCCGAUCACCGACAAAAGGAAGAAGAAAAGAAGAAAAAAAAUUAUUAAAAAUUAUUCAUGUCAAUAACAUCUAGUUAAAAUUAGUCACUUGAUCGAGCGUCGCCUUUGGUGAGUGACAGUAACCCUCACCCAAGUGAGGCCAACUCACCUAGUAAUGGUCAGUGGCUGAUCACUGACAAAAGGAAGAAAAAAAAUUAUUGAAAAUUAUUAAUGUCAAUAAUAUCCGAUUAAAAUUAGUUAAAUUGACAAUAAAUCAAAAAAUUUAUAACUAAAUUAACACGAUUGAAAGAUUUAAAACUAAAUUGGCACAAAUGUAAUAAGUUUAUGAUUUUUCUGACACUUUUCCCUUGAUUUUUUUGUAUCAUUACUAAACUCUUACCAAAUCACAAUUUUUUUUGGGGUGUAGUUAAUUUACAAUGUAAAGAUUUUUAUAAAAUGGUUUUUCAAACUUUCCUGUAUUUAGUUUGUUGAGAGUACGGUAAAAAGAAACGCUUUCAUGUUUUUGGAUUGCCAAAAAAACUCUCUAUUGGUAUUCACUCCUCUUUGUUUAUUUACCAUGGUAUCACUAUUCGAUUUCUUUUUGGGAAUGGAGAACCAUUCUCAUGUGAAGUUUAUGAGAAUUGAAAGAUUAAGUUUGUAAAUUAUUACAUUUAUCUUUUUUGGCAUCUUUUUUAGGUUGCCUUGUUUCAAUAAAAAAAAGUAAUAUUAAUAACUGUCGCGGCCAAUUUUUCGGGUUCACCACCUAAAACUAGGUUAAUGGACUAUUGAGCUUUUUAAACUUAACUCGGGCUCUCCUAAGCCCAUACCAAUUCGCGACUUAGGUUUGAAUUUUUAACAUGCAAGAGGUUAUUCUCUAGGAGUCGCCACUAAUCGGUUUAGGAUAAGUCGAUUAGACACCUAAGUAAAAUAAAUAGAGAUUUAUUUUACUCAUACGAACCAAAGACUGAGGGUACAAUGACUUGAUUACACUAGAUUUCUCUAAUGCCCUUUCGGUACCAUUUCUUUUUAAUUUUUCAAAAUGUUUUUGCAAGCAGCUGAUUUAUUUUAACCUAAAUUACUAUCAUGCAAAUAUGGUGACCACACGGGUGCUCAUCCAUUAUUAAAACAUUCAAAUGAAUUGCAUCACACAAGGCAAGCAAUCAUUUUUUUUUUUUGAGUUUUCUUAAAAAUUAGAAUUCUUUUAUGAAAAUGCAUUUUAAAACCAAAUGACUUUAUCUUAUUAAUAUGCAAAUUUUAAUUAAAUGGGCCUGUUAUGCAAACUAAUUAUUAUGCACCUCAUGACCUAACUUCACUAAUUAACAAGUUAUGAUUAAAUAAUCCUAUUAUGCAAACUAGUUAACAUGCACCUAGUAUUUUUGCAUUUUUUUAUUAUUGAAAUUCAGAAUUCAUGAAAACCUUAAUUAAUCUAUCUAAAAAUGAUAAUUUUCUAAUUUAUUCUAGGGAUUAGUUUGACUUAAACCCUAUCCUAUCUUAGAAAGCUAUUUUUUUUUUUUGGGAAAAUGAGAUAAUUAGAAUAUGCGAACAUUAUCUAAAACCCUAAAAAAUAUUUAGGUUCAACCCUAACUUAUUCCUAAAAAUGCAAUCUUAAAAAUGCAAUCCUAAGAAAAUCCUAAUGCUUGAUUUACUAAACUUAUAUACUCAUGCAGAAUUUUGAUUUUUUUUUAUCUUAUGAUUUUUUAGUUUUUUUUAAGAGAUAAGUAAUUAUUAAAUCUAAACUAUCAACAAAAUCAAGCAAGAAAUGAUUAAAAUAAUCGAAAAAAUAACAUGUUGUCUCACAGGUCAAAUUAACAGUUAUUCUAACCCUAAUUAUCAUAGCAAAGAGAUCAAAAUAAUUACAAAUCUAAUCCGAAGUCUUACGGACCAAAUUAAAUAAUUAUUGUGAUUUAAUAAUUAAAAUCUCACUAAAAAGCCCAACAAUUAAAAUAAUUAAAAAAAAAUGAUCCAAUGUCUCUUUGAUCAAAUUAAUAAUUAUAAUAAUUCCAGACAAAAUCCCAGCGGAUAAUGCAUACUAAAUUCACAAAUAUUAACAUCAAAUAUUACAACUUAAAUAGAUAAAGUAAAAUGAGAUAAAAUAGAACAAAAUAAAUAAAAGAAAAAGCUAAACCACCUAAAGAAAGAGGGGCUUGCUGCAGAUGGGCGCCGGACGGACGGUGGUCGGCGUCGGGUACUGCAGGUCAGCGACGGCAAGGUGGCGCGGGAGGUGCAGGAACGGGCGUCGGGUCGAGCAGCGAGAGGGCUCGCGGGCGUUGCGGGUCGCAGGCUGCUGCACAGCGAUGCUCGCGGGUGCUGGUGCGUGGAGCAGGGGCGGAUGUCGAGGCAGAGAUCGGCGGAGGGCGAUUUGCAGAGGUGGGUUGCGUACGGACCGGGACCUGCUGUCUUCGGAGGGCCGCGACGUCGAGCACGGCGAGAACAGGGAGAUCGGCGAGCAGCAGGGGCUGGCUAGUUGCAGAGGCGCAGCGGCACCAGGCUCUGAGCGGAUGCGUAGGCGGAGGCCGAGGCGUCACGAGCCGUGGACGGCUCGAUCAGUGCGGGUUGCAGGCGAGGCACUACAGAGCUCAGGGCAACGACGUCAGCCGUCGCGGCUGGCUUCGGGGCGGCAAGCGGCGCGGUGGACUUCGGCUAUGGAGAUGCCGUGGUGGAGGCGCAAGCAGGGACCGACGGUGGGCGCAGCGGGCUACUGGUUGGCGCUUGGGUCGUCGUGAGUCGGUGCGGACGGUCUCCAGUGGCAACGGGUCACCGGAAUCGUGGAUCGGCGCGGCACGAACGGGAGAGCUCGGGCGGACACCGGUAGGGCUUCGAGCGAGGCGGUCGCGGCUAGCCUCGGCUUCCAAGCGGCGUCGGCGUGGCGAGACAGCGGCGUCCGGCGGGCAGGAGACGGAGCACGGGCAGACGGCGGCAAGUCAGCGGAGAAGAAGAACAUUAUUCGUCUUCCUCUUUUUUAAUUUUUCUUUUUUCCUCCUGUCUCUCUCUCUCUCACCUGUCUCUCUCACGUCACUUUCCCUCUGUUUUCUUCACUUUUCUGCAUAAGCUUUUUGCUUUUUUCUGAAUUUUUUUUCUCCCCAGAAGCUCCUCCCGGUCCUCGUACUCGGUUGCUUUUAUAGGGGUAGGAGAUAAGCUUUCGAUUUCCCCUUCAAAUCUACAUCCGCGAUACAUUUUCACCAACCGAUCACUAUUGAUAAAAAUUUAAGAUUACGAUAAAUAUUUUCUCAAAAUUCAAAUCUCGCAAAGAUAAAUUGCAAUAUCGCAAUAUUUUUUCACAAAAUUCAUCCCAUACUGAUAAAAAUUCAAGAUUAAGAUGAGAUUUUUUUAAAUCCAAAUCUUUCAAAGCCAAAUCGCAAUAUUGUUUUACCCAUCUGCCAUAUCUAAAAAAGAUUCAUAUCUCGGAAAAAUUUUAAAAUAUUAUAUUCCCAUGAGAUAAUUUUUUAAUUAUUAAAAAACGCGGGCUUGGGCCAACCUGCUCGCUUCGUGGGCCUGAUCCAUCUAAUUCGAACUCAUCCGCCACCGGUCCCAAAAUAUGCAAAUAACAAAAUAAAUGCAAUCUAAAUCUAUAUGAUAUGCAAUUAAUAAAAUUAACCCCUAAUUUCCUAUGCAAUAAAUAACUAAACGGAUAGCCAAAAUUUAGGUGUCAACAAUAACUAAAAUUUUAGUAACAUCAUCUUAGUAUCUUAUAUUAAGAACAAAAUAUAAUUAUCAUAAAAAUGAUAAUUGUCUAAAAUAAGAUCUAACCACUGAAACCCGAUUCAAGCGAGAGUUUCUCUAGUCGGUGUCGUGGUCCAGUCAAUGCCCCUUUGUCAAGAAGGCUGUUUCUAUGGUCACUCAAUAGUACACAUCAACUGUCUUGAGAACACAGUGUCAAGAAGAAACGCACCCUAAUAUAUUAGCUAGUGGACAUAGAUUUAUGUUCAUCAGCUAAUGUAUAAGUAGGUCUACUCAUGUAUCGAGUCAACUAUGAGAGUAGCAAUGCACUAGGUGAAGGCUUAGGUAGGAAGCAGAGGGUGCAAAGGGCUUUGCAGGGUAAGCCUUGAGCGAUUUUUCGAUGAGCCCAAAUAGAUCGAUGAUAUAGCUAGGUAUAAGCACCUAAAGGGGGGGUGAAUAGGUGUAAAAAUAAUUUCUCGAGAUAUGAAAGCAAUACUAGGCAAACAAUAGAAAGAAAGCUCUAAUUUAGUUAACAAAACGAACUAUGAACAAACUAAAACAGAGAGUAGGGAAGAGAAAAUUGAACACAAGAUUUAUAGUGGUUCGGCUUAUUCCAAGCCUAUGUCCACUCUUCUGCACUGAUAGCCCACUGGCUGGAUUUCACUAUGAACAAAAGAGAUGUUACAGCACUGUUUUCCCUUGAUUCCACAGUGUAGAUAUUUUACCACACUUUCUCAAGGUAUCUCAAAAUAUAGACUCUCUUUUGCGUACAAUAUUUCGCUCAGAAAAUGAAUUAACUAAGAAUCAAAGAGCUUCAGACUUUGGAAUUCUUCUAUCGUGCACUUCCUCGAACAACUGGAACGUCUUCCUUUUAUACUCCUUUGUGCCAUCAUACCCGUUGGUACUUACCAAAGAAAUUCUUCAAAUCCUCCCGUUGGACGGAAUCAAUUAUGAAGAUUAUUCGAGCUAUUAAAGGAACAUGUCGAUAGCCCAUCAAUCCUGCUUGCCCAUACAAUCAGGAUUUUGGUUUCCAUAAGUAGAACCUUCUAAGAAUACUUCGCCAAUAAUCGGAUCUUUAAUUAUUCUUGAUUUGAAUAAAGGAAUCCGUUAUGUCAUAUCCAGCCAAGAGAUAUUCUCUAGUCGAUAAGGCCAAAUCCUUAAUGAAAUAGUUCUGGAUAGCCUUUCUUCAACAGAUUAGAAUCUGUCAAUGAGAAUAGAUUUUGAGUCUUGAAUCUGAUAGUACGGAGAUCUUUAGAUUUUAAUAAUAGAGUCUGCAAAACUUCAGACUAGACUGAUAGAAUCGUUUUGUCAACUUCAAAAUAUUCCAGAAGGAUUUCUCCAACAAUCGAGACUAAAUUUUAUAGGCUCAAUUAGUGGCCUAAAUCACAAAUUUGGCUGAAUUAGUUCAGUUCGGUGGGGCUAUUUCAGGUCAAAGCCCGACUUUUCCAAGAAUGAAGUUUGUUAAUUUAUUGUCAAAUUUGAAAACUUCGACAGGCACAAUCGAAAUAAGCCUUUAAGGUACUAUGAGAACUUGUUUAAGGUUCAAUAAUCAAAUCUAACUCAUCUACUGAAAUUGCUUAGUGAACUCAUCUCAAAGUUUGGUUUGAUCUAAAUUCAAAGUAAUUAAAAGUAUAAGGGCACUAUUGCACAUUGAACGUACAAUUAAUAAUGAUAGAAUACUAAAAGGCCGUUGAUUUUGAUUAGAAGAAGUAUUAAGCGUUCACGUACAAUCAUUUGAAGGUAGUGCUUAGACCUCUCCUCAGCACUACUGUGUUCACGUAUGGAACCUUCACCCGUGUUCUCUCGCCAACCCAAAUCGCAUGGCCUUUGAUUGCACCACAGUUGGACUUCGUUCGAUGUCUUGGUUAACGCGUAAGCAAUCCGAAUUUGCGAACUGAAAUGUGAACUGUGACGCUGAGUCAAAUUUGAACAACGGCGAGGAAAAACCCCCACGUUGAACAGUCAAUGAAGAUGUGGUCUUCGGAAAACCCUCGUGUUUCAGCCCCCUUUGAGGACCAAGGCCUCUUGGCUCAUCGGAAAUCUAGUUCAUCUAUCCUUAAAUCUGCAGAAAGUGCAGAAUCAACCGACCCACCGAACUCACUAGGUUCAUUCAGUUAUUCUUAUCAUGCGGCUCAUGAUUUAUUGGUGCUCUUGCUUGGUCAUCUUCUGCCUACUUCAGGCAAGUCAUAGGGCCAGCGGUGUAGCUUACAAUAUUACUCCAUUGGAGCCGCUCUUUCUGAACCAAACUCUCGCCUCCUCUGGCAAUAUGUUCGAGCUUGGGUUCUUCAGGCCGAGCGGGUCAGAAAAUCGGUAUGUUGGCAUAUGGUACAAGAACUUGACGCCUUCUAAGAUCUUGUGGGUCGCCAAUAGGGAACGGCCGCUUGUGUACACAGAUCAGUCUGCAAAAUUAACGAUAGGCAGUGAUGGGAAUUUGAAGCUCAUGGAUGGACAAGAAAAUAUAGUUUGGUCUACUAAUGUCUCUAGUCGGUCCAAUUAUACGUUGGCAGCGCUAUUAGAUAGUGGGAAUUUUGUUCUGCAAGAUGGAAAUUAUAGCGAAAUAUGGGGAAGCUUCGAGAUCCGACAGACACUCUUCUUCCAACAAUGAAGAUAGGAGUAAAUGUCAGGACUGGAGUGAAAGGGGACUAUAUAUCAGACAUUGGAGAUGAAGAAGGAUGUGAAAGCUGGUGCCGGAGCAGUUGUUCUUGCUUGGCUUAUUCUUACGUCAGCACCAUUGGGUGUAUGCUUUGGAGUAAAGACCUCAAUGAUAUUGAGGAGUUUCCCACAGCUGGGGAAGAUCUAUUUGUUCGAGUUGCAAGUGUAAAAGCAGGUUAGAAAUUGUUUCACUAAGAUGAGUUUGAGUCGACACCAAUCAUCUUUUAUAUAACUCUCUUUCCCAUUUCAGGAGGAUCGCGACACAGAGCAGUUAUCAUCAGCCUAAGUACUAUUGCAGGGAUUAUGUUCUUUGCUGUAUUUGUUUUUGUUCUUUGCAAACGGAGAGCUAACAAAAGAGGUACUAUUGAAAAGCUAUAUCAGUGUUAUCAGAGGAUUGUGCACGCUAUGAAAAAAGUAAGCUAAUUCUCCAUCAAUGAUAAACACAGGAAACUUGAACAAAAUUGGAGGGCUCCUUGACUCAGUAAAAACACCUGAGAAAUCGACCGAGCUGACACAGCGAAAUGAAUGGCAAGAGCAGUUGAAGCAAGAAGAUUAACUGGAAUUGACCCUUUAUAGUUUUGAUAGCAUACUACUUGCUACGAACAAGUUCAGCACAACAAGUAAACUUGGGCAAGGAGGGUUUGGCUCUGUUUAUAAGGUAAGACCAUUCUGCAGGACAUUGUUAAUAAAAAUAUUUUAAGGUCUAAAAGCUAUGUUAAUUGCAAAACAGGGGAAGCUGAAAGAUGGGAAAGAUAGCUGUGAAAAGACUUUCCAGUACCUCAGCCAAAGGCGUUGAAGAGUUCAAGAAUGAGAUUAUCCUUAUAUCGAAACUCCAACAUUGAAAUCUCGUUAAACUCAUGGGUUACUGCAUUGAAGGAGAAGAAAAGAUUUUGGUAUACGAUUACUUGUCGAAUAAAAGCUUGGACACCUUUCUUUUUGGUUGGUUGUUUUUAUCUCGGAAUAACUAUUUUUGUAUAAUGUAUUUUCUGCAAUAGCAUUCAAACUUGAAAACUUUGUCUGUCAUGUUUGCUAGAUUCAAGAAAGAAGGCAGAACUUGACUGGGGCAAACGAUUUCAAAUAAUUCAGGGGAUUGCAAGGGGGCUGCUCUACCUUCAUCGAGAUUCUUGCCGUAGGGUCAUACAUCGAGACUUGAAAGUAAGCACAUUAUCUUGGAUGAAAAGAUGAACCCGAAAAUUUCAGAUUUUGGGCUAGCACGAAUGUUUGAGGGCACUUAAGUUUUGGUGAACACACAAAAAAUUGUUGGAACAUUGUAAGCUCUCUAGGCCUAUUUGAAUUAUCAAUUCAUUGAGUCAAUCUCUUCAAGCAGACAGAAAUAUUUACCACAACGAACAUCUCUGUUCAUGCAUUUUUAUCGCCAUUGUCUAUCAAUACAAUCAAAGAGUACAUAACAUGUUUAACUUAACUGCAGUGGCUAUAUGUCUCCUAAGUACGCCAUGGGUGGAAUAUUUUCCGAGAGGUCCAAUGUCUAUAGCUUCGGAGUGUUGCUACUGGAGAUAGUAAGCGGCAAAAAGAACACGUCCCUGUAUGACUAGGGAUAUCUGAAUCUCCUUUUUCCUAUGUAAGUCCCAAAUUGCAAACUUAAAUCAAUAUUGUAAGUUUGCUGCAAUAUUCUGACAGUGUUCUCACUUACAGGCAUGGCAAUUGUGGAGUGAUGGCAAAGCAUUGGACCUAACGGAUGUAGCAAUGGCUGUUACCUCUCCUUUGGAGAUAACAAGAUGCAUCCAUGUUGGGCUUCUUUGUGUUCAGGACCAUGCCACGGAUAGACCAAACAUGUUGAAUGUGGUUCUGAUGUUAAGUGGCGAGUCAGAUCUUCCUCAGCCGAGGCAGCCUAUAUUCACUUUUCAAGCUGAAAGGCCAAAUCAUUCUAUUCCAUCACAACAAGAAAGCAUCCGGUUUGUUAACACUAUCACCAAUACAAUGGUCGAAGGAAGAUGACGACUAUUUAUUUUCAUUUUUAUUUUCUAUUUUUUUAGAUGACUUUGUUGUUAUUUUUUAAGAUUUUAGUGUCAAUUCCAUCCAAGGAUGGCUUAAAGUCCACUCUGAACAGAAGGGUCGAAUGGGCUGCUCCACUUUAUACAUGGAUUUUAGGCUGCAAACUAAAGGUUUAAAAUGUAUACUUUUUUGACAAAACAUAAUCGACGCAGCAAUUUGUUCUAAUUUAUAGUAGCCAAAACUGUUGUUAUAAUUAAGGAGAACUACCAAGUAAUUGCAUCACUCUCACCACCAGUUGCAUUUUGAAGAUUCGAUUUCCUGGGUUUUUGGACGAAAGAUAUCAUUACCAAAGAUAGACUAAAGUCCCGCCAAGAGAAGCAUGAACAUUGGCACGGGACAAAGUAUUUCCAGCUUCAAUAUGAUUCCCACAUAUGAUUUACCUUCUUCAGAUUUGAUAAGAAGUCGUCUAUGCCAGCGGCAAUUAAAUGUCAGUUAGUGAUCAAUUCAAUGACUGAACAAUUCAAUUCGGAUAAGCUUCGCAUUUAAAUGGAAGGCUAAUGUCAGCUAGUGAUCAAAAUCGGAGCCAUGUGAUCCUUAAACGGAAGAGCUAAAGAGUUCCUGGUUUGCUUGAAAACCCAUAUAAUGUCUAGCUUCAUUGAACAUUAAUUUCUAAAAGAGAAAUAACGAUUUGAUAAUGAUAUAAAAUUUCUACCCUAAAAAUAGAAAUUUGUUUGAUAUUAACACAAAAUUUCUUUUUUCGAAUAGAGGCAGACUGGCGAACGGCGGCGGACAAGCGAUCGGCAGUGUUUGACGACAGCGGGCGGCAGGUGGCAUUGGGCGAUCGGUGGCAACCAGCGACUAGCGGCGGUCAAUGGCGAUCGGCGGUUGGCAACCAGUGAUCGACGGUCGAUGGUUGGCGACGACGAAUGAAGUACCGAUUGAUGAACGAUGAAAAUAAUUUUUAUUUUUCAUUUCUAUUCUAGAAAUAGAGAAGUAUAAAAUUUUUACUACUGAUUUCUAUUCAAAACCAAUUUCUUGAACAAAAAUUUAUUUCAAAAAUAGAAAAGUGGAAUAAUUCUAUCAAACGAAUUUCUAUUUUAGAAACAAUUUUAGAAUAGAAAAAUUGUUUUUGGAACAAAAACAUGUGAUUGUCAUGCACCCCCUAAACCUGUGGGGAAAAUUACAUUAUUAAUCCUAAACCUACUGUGGAAAUGUAAAUUCAUCCCUAUAAUUUUUUAAUUUUGCAAAGUUAGUCCCUACGCAAUAUUCCAAUGUAGUCAUUAUGAACAAUUUUUUUUGGAAAUUGCCGGCAACGACAAUGACUAGAUUAUUACAUUAGUGAUUUUUAGUAAAAAUUAGCCGGAAAGACAACCUAUUUUUUGUAAAUGUUAAAUUGGCAAAAUUGAAAAGUUUUAGAUGGAAUUGACAUUUGUGUAAACAGAUUUAGAAUUAAUUGGACUAUUUCCGCGAAACUUGUGUUAUUGUGUUGACAAAACAUUUGGCCAACAAGUUUCAUCCGAAGUCGCUUUGACCCCUUCCGGGCAUGCUUUGUGAGCAAAUCGCACAACUCGAGCCACAACCUAUGCUUGGUCUUACCCUUAAUCGAGAAAAACUGAUCGUCGUUCAGCACUGACGCCAGCCUCUCCGCCGCCUCUUGCCACAGCUUCGAAUUAACCAAGAACUCGACGAAAUCCUCAAUGUGGGUGGGGUCAGACGUCAAGUAGCUCCUGUAAACUCUGAGCGGAGUCUCGAUGGGCAUGCCCCUCUGGCUGACGAACACCAGGUAGGGCUCCCAGAUACGGUCGUGCUGCGUGACGGGGAGCGCGCAGAGCGCCCGGUCGAAGGUCCGCCGGGUGCGGGUGACCAGCUUCUGCACCGUGAGGGUCUGGAGGUACAUGAUCCAAAUCCGGGGCAUCUUGUGCAUCGUCACCAGGGCACGCUCGAACGUGUUGUCCAGGGUCUCGUACUGGGAGUGGGUGAUGGGGAGGCUCCGGACGAUCUCGAGGCGCUCCCGGAGGUAGGCGUGCCAGAGCUUUUAGCUGCCGGGGAGGGCCUUGAGGGCGCGCUCGUAGAUGACGAAGCGCUUCUUGAAAGGGGAAUCGGCCCGGGCGAUGAGGUAGCGCCACCACAGCUUGAGGCUGAAGGGGUUGCGCAGGAGUUCCUCCUCGUAGAGCAGGUCGUCCUGCGACGGGUAGAGCUCCUUGGGUAUCGACAUCGCCGGAACCCGGAAAGACCCAGAAAAACCCUCGAGCGCCCGGAGAGGGAGGAGGCGGAAAGCGACAAUCUUGCGCGCGGCGGCGGUGCCGGGAGAGAGAAUUCGAUCGGAACUUCCGGAGUCCGGCGAGAGGGGUAGCGAGGGAGGUCGGUCGUCGCUCUUUCUCUCGCCGGGAAAUCAACGGCGGCGGCGCGCCAUGAGCGGGAGGAGGCUGCGGCGGGGGAAAAGCCCUAGUCUUUCCGGCAAGGAGGAUGGUGAAUUUGGGGAUCUUCGCAGCAAUGGCGUCUCUCUCUCUCUAUCUCUCUAUCUCUGUGAUCUCGCAGAGGUCGAAUUGCGGGAGGAAGAAGAGGGAUUUGGUGUUUUGCUCUCAGUAUUCUUCAGCACAAUUACUUCUGAGUUCAUUAUCUUCUUAUAAAUCCGUGAACAUGGCCCUAAUGGGCGAGAAUUACCCAUUAAAAGACCGAUUGCAAAAAAUUGAAACUAACACCUUCUUAUUUGUUGGACCACCAGUUUAGCCCCGUUUUCGAGUAAGUCCAUAAACCAGUCCUAUUCCUUACAAAGCUUAUUGUGGCCUUAUAAUCGGGUUAAAUUGCAAGCCAUUAAAUUUGAUUCAUAAUUAAAAACUAUAAGGCAAAAUGAACAAAUACUACUCGCUAACUAAAAACUUAAUCUCUUCGAAAGUCAUGGUAUGUUCCUCUGAAGGUUUCCCGAUACUAGAUAUAUGCGAAGAACAUUGAUCGCUUGAUUCAUUUUUUUUAACAUCAAUCUAAUUUAUUUAAUUAUACUCUUAAAACAAGCUAUUGGCUUUUAUGGACACGUUCUCUCCUUCCUCUCCCUUUGUUCAUUUUAUUUUGAUUGAGAAAGCAAAUAAAUGGAUUAUUAGAAUGAAAAGAAGAAGAAGAAGAAGAAGUAGGGGGUUAAUUCUAUUACAUACCCAAAAGAUAAAAUUAGUCAAUAAUUUUUUAUAAUUACAAAUGUAUAUGUACAUAUAUAUUUGGUUGAAAAAUUAAAAAAUAAUGAAGUGAUUGAGAUGAAUUUCUUUUUUAAACAUAUAUAUAUAUAUACACUACUAUGGUCUGGUUGGGUAAGUGGGCAAUUUCACGCCAAGAACCGGAUCGACUCCCAUGGGAAUUGUUGGUUUUGGUCCUAUCCAAACUAGUUCCGACUAGUUCAAGUAGUUCUCAAUUCUUUUACACACUCUUAGCUUUUAAAGACGUGUUUGAUAACCGGUCAAUUUUUAACUAUUUCUGAAAAAAAAAAAAGAAUAUAAAUCAAUUUGGUAAAGUAAACUAAUUUUUCUAUUCCCAGGAAUAGAUCAGUGGUAAAGGAAUAAAUUUGAAACAUGAUUCAAAACUAGAAAAAUGUUUUUUUUUUAUUCUCAAGAACGAUUUUACAAUAAAUUCAUUUUCUUUUUUAUUCUUUUCUUCUUCCUCCUCCUUUAAUUGGUUGCUGGUCUCAGCAAUGGUUUGGUGACCUCAUUGAAGCCUCAUUGACCCUGGGCACCAGCCAUUGCCGAGGGGCAACCAACUAUAGGAAGAAGAAGAAAAAUAGGAAAAAAGAUAAGCAAAAAGAAAAAUCUCAACAAAAAAAAAUUAAAAGAUAUUUUACUUCAUACAAAAAAUUGAGGGUAAGACUAAAUGCAUUUAUAUAAUUUUUUUCUAUUUCAGGAAUAAAAAUUUUGUGCAUUUAUCAAACACGUUUAAAUUCUCAAAAAUUUGUUCAAUAAUAGCAUCCGAAAAAACUAUUUGUGACCAGAAAUCGUUUUCAAAAAUAGCAUGGUUAUCAGACGUAUCAUAAGACCCGUUUGGUCAAAGAAAAACUACUUUCUGAAAAUUAUAUUUCAACUUUUCAGUAUUUGGGUGAUCGAAAAUAAAUAAAAGCGUUUUCCAUUAAUUAAAAACAACAACCUUAGAUUGGGAGAAAUUGAAGGAAAAUCACUUUUCCAAGGCUCCUUGCGUCAUGACUCGAACUCUGGGCACAUGCACAUCCCUCAAUGGUCGAUGAAAAUUUGCAACAUCCUAGGAAUUGUUGUUGAUUCAUUCAUUAUUUUGCGCAUGCAGAAACAUAAAACAAUCUCCAUACAACAUAACGGUAGGAUAGAAACGUAGGAUAAUAUUUUCACAAACCACAUCUAUAAUACAGUAGUACUUAUAUACAAAGUGAAGCUAUUCGGCUACCUACGCGCUAAGCUUCCAUUUACAAGUUUGCUAUUACACUAUCAUACUUCUCGACCUCUGUAGGGUGAACUGUCACCCAUCAUCCAGCCUUGACGGAAGACCCGUCACCACAUGAGAGAAGAUAGCGAGAAACCUACACUUCCCUUCUUGUAGACCCUUGUACACAACCUGGAAUUCCUCCAUCUAGGGGCCUGAAAAUUUUAACCCACUAAGGGGUGAGAUAACAUCUUAGAGAGUUAAUCCCCUAAAUCCAAAGUAGGAGAAUGGUACACUCUACAUGCAAUCUAAUCACGUUUCUCAUAACUCUUUUCAUACCAGUCUUUCCUUGCAUGUUAGUGCCGAUCAAAUCAUACAUACAGUAUCGAGUUUUCACAUCAUAUGAAUACCGUAACACGAGUAUGUGUAAAGACAUAAAUAUCAACAUAAGUAUACGGGCCCCCAAUUACCAGACUAAACCGUUAUGGCACGUCCCAUACUGCACCACACAGUUCCGUCUUUUAAUUAGGUCCCUCCCUUUCACUUAUUCAUGUGUCAAAAUUGAUUUCAAUACACAAAUAACAGUCUUCCGGCAUAAUCGAGUAUCGUCUCGCACUAUCGAGCACUGCAACUUCUACAUUUAGAUGGCAUUCCAUAUAGGAGCAUCAGCUCAGCCUCCACUGCGACCAGCAUCCGUUGACGUGGGGCAUUCUCGAAAGAGCAUCAUCUGGCCCCAAAGGCUCGUGACGAAGUCUCAUGUCAUGUAUGCAUUAACUCAAUAUCACAAUUCUAAAAUCAAUUGCACAUUUAAUUCAUAACAUCAUUUGAGCAAUUUUCCAGCAAGAAACACUUAGAGAACAAUUACAAUCGGAAUUAGCAGAAACUGUCCACUUGUGCCCUUUCAAGUUUAACACCAGAAACCAUCUCAAAUGAGUUCAAAAAAUUCUCAAACUUGAACAUGUGAUAAAGAAUAUGUAAAAAAAACAUUUUUUAUGAAGGCACCGAGACUCAGAUCCUUAUGGAUUUGGCCAAGUAAUUCACUCAAUCCAGCACUAAAAUCGGGUCCGUUUCCAGCGGUUCUGGUUUUCGAAAUUAGCUUGGUUCGGGGUUUGAAAUAGGCUUAUUUGGUCUGAAAUUCGAGUAUGUUCAACUAGAAGAUAUAACAAACAACUUUUCUGAAUAACUUAUUUUUAAAAAUCGAACCCGAAGGGUUAGUAACAACCCAUAGAAUCCUUACAGGUCGCAAAUUCCAGUGCAGUUUGAGUUUCUAUUUAAAGACAACGAAGCCAAAAUAAUUUUCCUUUAAAUCCUCAAAAAUCUUGAGAAAAAUAUAUGUUAUAAUUGAAGAUGUGAAAAACAUUUCUUCAGAAGGAAAUUUCUUCAAAAUCGCAACAUAUAUCAGUCUACAAAAAUAACAAAUUGCGCAUGUCCAGAAAACAGUUUCAAGAAACAGCCCCUAUCUUUGGCUGAAUCAUCCUAUACGGUUCUUAUUUUAUCCUUUAAACCACAACUAAGCCUUUCUAUGGCUAAUCUAACGUUUAUAACUAACACCCAACCAUAUGUAAUAUCAUCUACACCUUUCUUACUUGGAUGAAUCACUAAGGGGGUGAUUGGUUCAGCUUUCCCAAGGGGCUUUGAGCCCCCAAAGCCCCUUGGGAAAAAUUAAAGGGUGUUUGGUUCGGCUUUUGAAUGCUCUUUGGCAAAAUGUUUGCCUUUGGAAUGCUGAUGGGAGGAUUAAUGAAUUUUUGCUUAUUACCCAUUUUACCCUCAAAAUUUUAUUAAAAGUCCAAUUUUAUCUUAUACAAAACAAACCCUAACUUUUUUUAGGCUUUUCUCACGCUACGCUCUCUCACGCAACACUCUUCCUCAUCGCUCUCUCUCCCUGCAACUCGACGGCUCUCUCUCUCCUUGCAACUCGACGGCUUUCUUCUUCGUCGCUUCCCUCCCUGCAACUCGACGGCUUUCUUCUCCGUCUCUCUCUCUCCCUGCAACUCGUCGACAGCGGUCCUUCUCGGUUUUGGAUCCAUGUAAACUCUCGUUACCUCGACGGAGCUCUCUUCCUCUUCUUCAGCCUGCUUCAGUUUCUCUUCACUCCACUUCGCUCGCUGCUCCCUCCAGCCAGGUACUCUCCUGUCCUUCCACUUCCCUUUUGCAGGCACUUCGCUCUCUCUCUCUCUCUCUCUCUCUCUCUCUCUCUCUCUCUCUUAUGUUCUAUUGAGGGUAUUGCUUGAUUUCGUUGAUGCUAGAAUUCGUUCUCGAACGAGGCAAGAUUUGGGGUUCCAGGGCUCUGAUGAUGGGUUUUGAGUCCUGUGUUUGAUCGUGGUUUGAAUUUAUCUUCUUGGGUUCAAUCCUUUGCCCUCCUCUCCUUUUUUUUCCCCUUUUUGGGUCGUAAUCUUAUUGGGUUUUGGUUCGGCGUCCCUGUAAUUUGCAAGGUAUUCAAGAAAGACUGUAGAUGGUUGAGGUCGGUGUGAGAUGAGGGCACCUGUAAUCGCUAAGAAAAGAAAAUGGUCGCAGUUGUUCUAUGUUUUUUUUUUUUUUUUUUGCUUUCUUGUAUGAGGAUUUGAGACAAAGGGGAGUCUUGAAUAGGUCGAUUCAUGCCAAAUUACUGCAAAUAGUAGCUCUUCUGAGGAUCUUGUUAAUGGCGGAGUGUUUCUUGGAGAUGAUUGUUUCUUGAGGUAAGCUAGCUGAGCCUUUGUCAAUGUCAUUACAAGAGCCUGCUCCAAUGGUAAAGAUUCAUAAGUUCAGUUCUUAGAACAGUAGGCAAAAACAGUCACAGACUCGGAUUUGAUUUGAAGGUGGAGAAAGAAAAUCAUUGAAAAGUGAAGAACUAUGUUAGAGUGUAUGAUUAUUCUGAUGCAAGCUCUGUCUAUCCCCUGAUUAGUCGAAUCACGAAAUUCAAGAUGCGGCAUACAAGCAAAAUUAGUCUUUGAGAUAGCAAACAACAGGAGACAAAUUCGGUAAAAUCACCACUUACCUGCAAAGCUGCUUUUUGUGGAGGAGAUGACCUCAUAUAGGCUAUUACAAGCCUACACAUCAUCAUAUCUAGUGGUAUCUUGACAUCAUGGUGAGAAACCAGCCAAGGAAGACCUAAUGAACAUUAUGGGAAUUCGAAGAUCAAAUCAAUAUUAAUCUGCAACCCUUGCUAGGUUUUGAUUAAGGAUAAAACUUAGCAAACAACCACCGGCGGUGGUGGCGUAGGUGGUUGAGCAAGGGACUUCUCGCAAAAAGACCCGAGUUCGAUCCACGGCGUCGUCGAGUCUUAAGUGCAAGCCGCGUCUUAAGUGGGUUGCUGGGGUGGUGGGUCCUCCAGCUAGCAGCCCUCCAGGGUUUACUCUCCACCGCGAAGCGGCGUGCGGAGGUUCCCUAGAUUACCAAAAAAAAAAAAACUUAGCAAACUAAUAAGGCCAGGUUGCCAAUUACAAAUUGAUUGCUAUUCUUCUGUAUGUUAUUCUUUGUUUAAAUGGCUCUAUAGACUUACACAAAGCCUGGGCAGCCAUUGGUCUCCUUCUGUAAUUCUUGUUCAACAAUCUCUUCACAAAAUCAAUUGCUUUAGGGGAUCGAGAAGGCCAUGGGUCUUCAUCAAAACUUGGCUCUUCCUCACGAAUCGCCCAGAAUAUUUCAGAUUGAUUCUGCCCCCAAAAGGGUGGAUCACCACAUAGUAACAUAUAGGCAAUGACACCAAUACUCCACAUGUCUGCUUCAGUUCCGUAGAAUGCAUGUAGAACAUCAGGAGCUAUAGUAAAUUCGCUUCCCACAAAAUCCUUCAACUUGACAUUGCUUUGACUGCACUUUGCACAUUCUUAGAUCAAGAAUGGGAACCUUUCAAGUUUCUGCCUUUCUUUUUUCAUGCAUAACUAGCACUUAUGGCUUUUGAAAUUGAUUGUUCUGUUGUUGUAAUAAUUUGACAUCACUUUUCUUCUAUCCUGUUCGCUUGCUACGUUAAUUGUACUUAUUGUUCCUUGUGAUUUGGUCACUCCAGUGUCCUGCAUGCCCAACUUUUAUGUUUUUUUUUGCUCUUCUGCACUUUACUAUUGAAGCAGCUGCAAGCAUGAGAGUGAUUAUAGGAUGGUCUUAACUUUUUCGAGGUUCUUCAUUAUGGCUAUCGAUGCCUUAUAUAUAAACUAUUGUUUGGAAGAUAAAGUAGAAUAAACUUUUGCAUGCUGUGGGGUCUUCAUAGUUGUCUUUGUGAUAAUAUAUCGAAUGACCAAUGGACAAACAAAGGGGUUACUUAGAUGGUGAAUCUAUGUUGUGCGAUUCUAGUUAUUAAGAAAUACUCAUCAUUGCCAAGGUGGCAUGAGUUUACCUUCUUAAUGAUGAGCCAUGUUCAUCAUGUAAUUGUCUAAUGCGAAGUUUAAGCUUAUCUUUGCCCAAUGAUGGAUAUGUUUAGUUUGCACAUUCACUAUUAUUUUAGGUUUUGGAUGACCUAGUAUAAUGAAGGAUUUUUUUAUGCAAGUACAAUCUUUUUGCGUGUCUUUAUUUUUUCUCAAUGUUAGUUUUCUUUUCUUUAAGUGAAUAUCUUCUAGUUUUUUAAUAAGAGAGGGCCCGAGUGGUUGAUCUUGUUUGUUUGUCUCUUAAAUUUAUUCAUGUCACUUUACUAGUAGGAUGAGUUCAUCAAAGGAAAAUGCAUUUUGGAGCUCGGAAGAUGUAGAAAUCUUUUAUAAUUUGUGUAUCGAACAAAUUGAAAAAAACAAUCGUCCUGCAAAUAAUAAAAGAGAUGGAUAGACAGUCAUAAUUAGUAAGUUUGAGGAGCUAACGGAUAAAAAAUAUGAUAAACAAAAAAUGAAGAGUAAGUGGGAUAACCUCAAGGAAGAAUGGAAAAGAUGGAGGUCAUUGCUUUUCAAGGAAACUGGAUUAGGAUGGGAUUCAAGGAAGAAAACCAUUGAUGCGAGUGAUGAAUGGUGGGAGCGUAAAAUUCAGGUUUUCCUCCAUUCUUUUUAUUUUUUAUUUUUAUUUUUUAUUUUCAUGUUAAGCUCACCUUUAAUGAUACAACUUAUGUAAAUGCUUCAUUAUAACAGACCAAUCCAAAGUUUAAGACUUUUAGGAUGAAAGGCAUACAUCCUGAUCUUGAAGUAAAGUUAGAUAUGAUAUUCAGAGAUACAGUUGCUACUAGAGGAAUCACAUGGAAUCCCAAACAAGGUUUAUGUAUUGAUAAGAUGUGGAGAUCACACAACCUGGUAUCGAUGAUGUUGUAGGGUCUACUGAUGAAAACUUUGAGGAUCACAUGGAUGAAUCAACUGGAACUCAAACUCGUAAGAGAGCUACACAGACUUCAAAGAUGCAAGCUCGAGAAAAGAAAUAUAAGAAAUUGAGCACAAGAGAGGAGCUCAGAUCACAAAUUAACAGGCUGCUUACAGUUGUUGAUAGUAGGAGUACUACCAGCGCUGCAUCCAAUGCAACCGGUUUAGUCAAUCCUUAUGAGGACCUCAUAGAGAUAUUGGAUUCCAUACCUGAGAUUAUGGAAGACGAAGAUUUGUACUCUUUUUUUUCAAUUUCUCAUUUAAAGGAAAAGAUAUACAAUAGGCAAGUUUUCAUGAGCUUAAAGGAUAAUGCAAAGAAAGUAAAGUAUCUCAAAUAUGAAGUGAGAAAAGAAUCAAGUCUUCGUAGAUAGGAGAAUGUUAGCAUUUUAUUGUUUUCAUGUUUGAAACUUAGUCAUUUCACUUUGUUUCCAUCUAUGGAUCUUUCUUUGCAGCAUUUGUGAACCGAAUUUCAAUUAAUGUUUGAUGUUAGAAUUGUUUUCAUUUGGUGUUCUCUUAAUGUGAUAGUUUGCAUAUAUGCGAUGGUUAAUAUAUUGUUUAUGUUUAUAUUUUGUUACUUGAAACAGUUAUGGAUGAUUUAUGCGAUGGUUAAUACAUUGUUUCUUUUUAUAAUUUGUUACUUGAAGCAGUUAUGGAUGAUUCACAUACAAGGACAAAUCAUGAGUAAGAAGAAAAUGAAUUAUGAGAUCUUAUCUCAGUCACUGAAGCUGCAAUUCUUUAUCAAGCAACCAACCUUUGCAAACAACCUUGCAUGACCUUAACAUAUACAGGUUAUGUAUGGUUAAAAGAGUUGAUUGGCGAAUAUGCUAAUCCGAUAAGGUGCUACAAUAUGUUUAGAAUGCAUAAGAUUGUAUUUGACAAUUUAACGCAUGAUUUAGUAACACAUUAUAGCCCUCAAGGAUCUAGGAAUACUGAUGUUAGAGAAAUUGUUGGUAUGUUUCUUCAUAUUCUAGGGCAUGGUAUAAGGUUAUAGAUUAGCACAAGAGCAUUUUCAAUGCUUCGAGGAAACCAUAAGUAGGCACUUCAACUUAGUUUUAGAUAAAGUAUGUGAUAUGGGAAAAUUUUUGAUCCAACCAACUGAUCCACAAUAUAGAAAAAUUCUAGAGAAGAUCAAGAAAGAUCGGUGAUUUUAUCCAUAUUUUAAGGAUUGCAUUGGAGCUAUUGACGGCACACAUAUUCCAGCGGUUGUACAUAAGUAUGAUCAAAUUCGUUUUAUUGGUCGAAAAUGAACAACUCAAAACGUGUUAGCCAUAUGUAAUUUUAAUAUGGAAUUUGUCUAUGUUUGGGCUGGUUGGGAGGGACAAGCUCAUGAUACCCGUAUCUUUUAUGAAGCUAUUGGAAGACGUGAUACAGAUUUUCCCCAUCCUCCUCCAGGUAUGCUAGUCAAUGGUUUAGAUACAUUCAUAUAUCUAAUUGGCAUAUGUUGACUAAAUUUACAAUAUAUAUAUAUAUAUAUAUAUAUAUAUAUAUAUACAUGUAAAUAUUACUUAGUAGAUGCUGGAUAUCCAAAUCCUACUGGUUAUUUGGGGCCAUAUAAAGAAGUUAUAUAUUAUUUGCCAGAGUUUCAAGAAGGUCCUUCACCUACGGGAUAUCAAGAAGUGUUCAACCGUGCUUAUUCCUCACUACGCUCGACAAUUGAGCAGGCCUUUGGUGUAUUAAAAUAGAAGUGGAGGUUUUUAACUCAUAUGCCAAGUUAUCCAUAUGAAAAGCAAGUGCAAAUUGUGGUAGCGGUAAUGACUUUGCACAAUUAUAUCCAGAGAAAUAACGUGAUUGAUACGGAUUUUGAACAAGCAGAAUUGGAUCCCGAUUAUGGAUAUUCAAUUGACCAUGAUGAUGCAAAUGAAGGGGUGGGUGCUUCAAAUUCGUAUGCAUCUCCGGACAUUGCACUUUUACGUGAUGAAAUAGCCAUAAGUUUACAAAGUCGUUGAAGUUUGUAAUACUAAGUAUAACGUAUUUCUUUUUUCUGGAUAUAUAUGACCAUGUUUACUAUCAUGAAAUGACUAUUUUUAGUCAAAUUUGUAUGAGAUGAACUUGAUUUUAUUUCUCUUAAUUAGGACCUCCCUUUUUAUAUGUGGUGCUUACUAAAAAAAAUUAGCAUCUACAAUCGAUCACUUCACCAUCCACCGAAUAAGUUCAAUUUGUUUUAUAUCAUUUUAAUCUUUUGACAAUCAAUAGCCCCCAACUUUUUAUCAAUACACUAGAAUGAUCAUUAAUUAACGAAGAUGAUUAAUACUACAAUAAUUAAAAAAAAUAUUCAAAGUUAAAAACAAACCUAAAAGAACCUUAGGCUAAAAGUUAAGCUUUGCAUUUAAUCUAAAAUCAAAUUCUUUUAAUAUAAUUUUUAAUAAAUUUACUAAUAUGUAUAUUUUAUAUUACUCUCAACAUGAAAAUGUAAAAUGUUAUAUACCCAUUGUUUCUUUUUUGCAAUUUUAAAAAAACUAAAACUAAAACACUUAAUUUUAAAUGGUUGGCUUUUCAAAUGCAAGUUUACUGUACUUUUCAGUUUUAGUUUACCAAAUAGUCUAGCAUUUCAUAAAACCCUUUAUCUCAAAGGUAUUUGCAUUCUCCCAAGUGCAUUUUUCCAAAGCCGAACCAAACGAGCCCUAAAUAGAGGUACACGACCCUAUUCCAGAUUUAGAGAAACAACUCACCAAUGCUAGAACCACACACUUCUUGUGUCAGCGGCAUGACCGACGAAAUCACAAGGCUCGCAACUUGAACGGCGACGGUUCAUUGAAGUUGAGCUCAAAGCCAAGGGUGCUCGGCUUGAGCGGAUGGAGUGCAACGAUGAGGAUGAUGGUGAGCCGAGUGGAUGAUGAAGCUAUAGAAAAUGAAAGAAAAUAAAUGGAGGUGAAAGAAGGAUGGGGUGCUACAGUAGAAAUGGAGAAUGCGUGAGGGGGGAGAAAAAGAAAAGAAGAGGGGGGGGGGGGGGGUGAUGUCGUCCAGAGCCGAAAAGUGGGGAAGAGGAGAGAGAAAGAAUAAAGUAAUGGAGGGGAAGUUGCGGGGUAAUUGCAGUAGAAGGGUUGGCGAGGUGAGGGGGUGGAAAAGUGGGAGAGAGAGGGAGAAAAAGAAGAAAGAGAGAAGAAAAGACAGCAGAAGAAGUUACCGUAAGUGUGGGGGUGGAAAUUGCGUGCGAAGGAGGGGGAUGCGUGAAGGAGAAGAGAAAGAGGAGAGAGAGAGAGAAGAAAAAGAAUAAUAGUAAUAUAGUUAUCAUUUUUCUUUUUCUUUUAAUCUCCGAUUUUUCAUCCGAUAAUUUCUUUUUCCGAAAUUUCGGGAUGUCACACCUAGACUACCAAACAGAUAAAAACCAAUCCAUGGAAUUUUUUUUUCUUUUAUGAUCAAUUUUUCAAUGAAACAAAUGCACUCUUAUCAUAUUAUUGUAACAUUUAAUGUAUUAAACUCGCAAUACCUUCUUAAUUGAUUUUUUUGGGAAAAGUGUCAAUUUAAUCUUUAACUUUUUAAUUAUAUCAAUUUAGUCAUAAAACCUUUUAAUCUAAUAUCAAUUCAAUUAUUCUAGCUAAUUUUGGCUAAAUAUUGUUAAUGUGGAUAAUUUUAAAAUAUAUAUAUUUUAAUUUUUUUUUAAUAUUUCUAUGAUUUUUGUCUUUUCUUUCCUUAUUUUUUCUUCCUUUCUUUUUCCUUCUUCACCUAAGCGAGAGUCAUCGUUGCCUGCUAGAGGCAAGGCUUGAUCGGGCAAGGGCCAAGUGAGGGAUCCCCUCACCCAAGCCAUGGCAACCUUGUCGGGUGUCACCUUUGCUUAGGUGACGCUUGGCGAGGGUUGGCCUUACCAGAUCUAGCAAAAGAAGCCCUUGGCUAGUUGAGCGUCACCUUUGGUGAGUGAUGGUAACCCUUGCCCAAGUGAGGCCAACUCACCCGGCUAUGGCCAAUGGCCAAUCAACAACAAAAGGAAGAAGAAAGGAAGAAAAAAAGAAAAAAAGAUAUUAUUAAAAAUUAUUCAUGUCAACAAUAUCCCGUUAAAAUUGGUUAAAUUGACACUAAAUCAAAAAUUUUAUAAAAAAAUUGACACAAUUGAAAAGUUUAAAACUAAAUUGGCAUAUAUGUAAUAAGUUUAUAACUUUUCUAUCACUUUUCCCUUCUUUUUUUUUUUGUAUUAUUACUACACUUUUAUGUCUAAUGUGCAUACCAAAUCACAAUUGUUUCGGGGCGUUUUAAAUUUACAAUGUAAAGAUUUUUAUGAAAUGGUUUUUCAAACUUUCCUGUAUUUAGUUUGUUGAGAGUACGGUAAAAAGAAACGCUUUCAUGUUUUUGGAUUGCCAAAAAAAUUCACUAUUGGUAUUCCCUCCUGUUUGUUUAUUUGCCAUGGUAUCACUCUUCAAUUUCUUUUUUGGAAUGGAGAAUCAUUCUCAUGUGAAGUUUUAUGAGAAUUGAAAGAUUAAGUUUGCAAAUGAUUACAUUUAUCUUGUUUUGGCAUCUUUUUUAGGUUGUUUUAUUUCAAUAAAAAAAAAGGCAAUAUUCGUAACCAAAAUAUUAGUAAUAUAAUCUUAGUAUCUUAUAUUAAGAACAAAAUAUAAUUAUCAUAAAAAUGAUAAUUUUUUAAAAUAAGAUCUAAACACCAAAAGUCGAUUCAAGCGAAAGUUUCUCUAGCCGGUGUCGUGGUCCAAUCAACAUCCCUCUGUUAAGAAGGCUAUUUCUAUGGUCGCUCAAUAGUACACAUCAAUUGACUCGAGAACAGUGUCAAGAAGAAACACACCCUAAUAUAUUAGCUAGUGAACAUUGAUCUAUGUUACUGACCAAAAAAAAAAAACAUUGAUCUAUGUUCAUCAGCUAAUAUAUAAGUGGAUCUACUCAUGUAUCAAAUCAACUAUGAGGGUAGCAACGCACUAGGUCAAGGCUCGGGUUGGAAGCGGAGCAUGCAAAGGGCUUUGUAGGCUAAGCCUAGAGUGAUUUUUCGGCACGCCCAAAUAGAUAGAGACUAAAUUUUUUGGGCUCAAUCACUGGCCUAGACCUAAAUCACAAAUUAUUUGGGUGAAUUAGUUCGGUGGGGCUAUUUCAGGUCAAAGCCCAACUUUUCCAAGAAUGAAGUUUUUUUUUAUUUAUUGUCAAAUUUGAAAACUUCGACAAGCAACUGACUAAUUAAUGUGAAGUUAUUUAUAACUAUAUAAAUGUCACCUAAAGAAAUGAAAUCUACGCACCUCAAUUUCGAUGGGACAUAAUCUUAGAUUAGGGUAGAGUUAAUUGUCCCGAAAGCACAAUCAAAAUAAGACACUGUCAGAACUUGUUUAAGGUUCAAUAAUCAAAUAUAAUUCAUCUACUUAAAUGGCUUAGUGAACUCAUCUCAAAGUUUGGUUUGAUAUAAAUUCAAAGUAAUUAAAAGUAUAGGGGCAAUAUUACACAUUGAACAUACAAUUAAUAAUGAUAGUACUAAUAAAAGGCCAUUGCUUUUGGUUGGAAGAAGUAUUCAGAGUUCAUGUACAAUCACUUGAAAGUGAUGUAGACCAGAAAAGACGCUAAAGAUUUGGCCUUUCCUCAGCACGGCUCAGUUUUCCUAUGGAACCUUCACCCGUGUUCUCUCGCCAACCCAAAUCACACGGCCUUAAGUCAUUUGAUUGCACCAAACUUGGACUUCAUACGAUGUCUUGGAUAACACGUAAGGAAUUCAAAUUUGUGGAUUGAAAUGUACAACUAUGAUGCUGAGUCAAAUUUGAACAGCGGCAAGGAAUAACCCCCACAUUGAACAGUUAUUGAAGAUGUAUGCUCCAUUCGUUUCAUAGAAAAUAACUUUCAGAAAAAUAUUUUCUGGAUUUUCGGCGUUCGUUUCACGGAAAAUGAACUAGUCAGGGAAAUAUUUUCCAUUAUCUAAAAAAAUAAUAUUUAAAAGUGAGGAAAUGUCUUUCACUUUUCAAAAGUGGAAAACAUUUUCCAUAACUUCUUCCAUCUUGCUUCUUUUUACCAAACACAUUUUCGUUUUGUUUUUAUGCUUUUUUUUUCUUUUCUUUCUUUCUUAUUUUUUUUAAAUCGAGUUUUUAAUUCUUUUUCUUUUUCUUUUUUUCUUUUCUCUAUUUCCUUUUCAUCUUCUUCCUUGGCCUUGGCUGGUCGCUAGCCACGGCGGCGGCCGGCGACCGGCCACAAGCCAGCUCAAGCCUCGCCUCAGGCUGGCGAGGCUCCGCCUAGCUCGAUCUGGCGAAGCUAAGCUCACUAGAGGUUGAUGGGCUUUGGUGAGCCGCGAGCUCGCCGAAUCUGGCGGCAAAGCUCAGGCUCGCCUGGAUCAGGAGCCAAAGUUCCAUUGCCAGAUCCGACGGGCUCUCGGCUCGCCAAAGCCUGGCAAACCUCUGGUGAGCUCGAUUGAGAUCGGUCGAGCCUCGACCUUGCAGGAUUUGCUAAUCGCGUCUUGGUUGGCUGCUGGGAAGCUAGCCACCGUUAGGCCAGCGGCGGCGGAGGUAGGAUGAGGAAGGAGGAGGAGGAAGGAAAAUAAAAAGGAAAAAAGAAAAAAGAAAAAGAAAAAGAAUAAAAAAAUUUCGAUUUUUUAAAAAUACAAAUAAUUAAAAAAUCAGUUUUUAAAAGAAUAUAAAAAAAUAAAUCUAGUUUUUUGGUCAAUUAAAAAUAAUAAAAUUCUUUUUUUUGAUAAUUUUUCCCAAACAAUUAAAUUACCUAAUGAAUGGUGGAAAAUAUUUUCCACUCAAAAUUCAGGUUUCAACAAAACACCGAAAAAUAUAGUCAUUUUCCAAGAAAAUGACUUUCUAGAAAAUAUUAUAUGAAAAUGUGAUAUUUUCCGCAAAACGAACGGAUCCAUAAUCUUCUGAAAACCCUUGUGUUUUAGCCCCCUUUGAGCGCCAAGGCCUCUUUGCUCAUAGGAAAUCUCGUUCAUCUAUCCUUAAAUCUGCAGAAAGUGCAGAAUCAACCGACCCACCGAACUCACUAGGUUCAUUCAGUCGUUCUUAUCAAGCGGCUCGUGAUUUCUUGGUGCUCUUGCUUGGUCAUCUUCUGCCUACUGCAGGCAAGUCAUAGGGCCAGCGGUGUAGUAGCUUACAAUAUUACUCCAUCGGAGCCGCUCUUUCCGAGCCAAACUCUCGUCUCCUCUGGCAAUAUAUUCGAGCUUGGGUUCUUCAGGCCGAGCGGGUCAGAAAAUCAGUAUAUUGGCAUAUGGUACAAGAACUUUACGCCUUCUAAGAUCGUGUGGGUGGCCAAUAGGGAACGGCCGCUUGUGUACACAGAUCGGUCUGCAAAAUUAACGAUAGGCAGUGAUGGGAAUUUGAAGCUCAUGGAUGGACAAGAAAAUAUAGCUUGCUCUACUAAUGUCUCUAGUCGGUCUAAUUAUACGUUGGCGGUGCUCUUAGAUAGUGGGAAUUUUGUUCUGCAAGAUGGAAAUUAUGGCGAAAUAUGGGGAAGCUUCGAGGAUCCAACAGACACUCUUCUUCCAUCAAUGAAGUUAGGAGUGAAUGUCAGGACUGGAGUGACAAAGUUUCUAAAUUCCUGGAGAAGCGACAGUGAUCCAUUCCCUGGAAGUUUCUCGACUGGAGUGACGUCUGAGACGCCACCUCAAUCUUUCACUUGGAAAAAUUCGGCCCCUUACCGGAGAGGCGGGCAAUGGGACAAAUCAAAAUUUAUCGGCGUGCCAACCAUGGACCAAUCAUACAAGAGUGGCUUCACUGUCCAGCAGGAUACUCAGCAGGGAACCACUUACUAUUCGAUAAAUAGAAACGAUAUCUUUCAAUAUGGGCAGAACCGAACGAUACUUGUGCGAUUUAUGGAACUUGUGGUCCAUUUGGAGUUUGUAACUCAUUGAAUUUGCCUAUUUGCAGAUGCAUAGAUGGGUUUGUGCCAAAGUCAAAUGAACAGUGGAACAGUGGAAACUGGACCAGAGGAUGUGUACGAGAGAUGGAAUUGAAUUGCGAGAAAAACACAAGCACAUCGACUUCUACAAAUGUAAAGAAAGAUGCAUUUUGGCAAAUGAGCCAGAUGAAACUACCCGACUCUGGGGACUAUGUAUCAGACAUUGAAGAUGAAGAAGAAUGUGAAAGCUGGUGCCGGAGCAAUUGUUCUUGCUUGGCUUAUUCUUAUGUCAGCACCAUUGGAUGCAUGGUUUGGAGUAAAACCUCAUUGAUCUUCAGGAAUUUCCCACAGCUGGGGAAGAUCUAUUUGUUCGAGUUGCACAUGUAAAAGCAGGUUAGAAAUUGUUUCAUUAAGAUGAGUUUGAGUCGACACCAAUCAUCUUUUACAUAACUCUCUUUCCCAUUUCAGGAGGAUCGCGACACAAAGCAGUUAUCAUCAGCCUGAGUACUAUUGCAGGGAUUAUGUUCUUUGCAGUAUUUGUUUUUGUUCUUUGCAAAUGGAGAGCUAACAAAACAGGUACUAUUGAAAAGCUAUAUCAGUUGUCAGAGGAUUGUGCACGCUAUGAAGAAAGUAAGCUAAUUCUUCAUCAAUGAUAAACACAGGAAACUUGAACAAAAUUGGAAGGCUCGUUGACUCAGUAGAUACACCUGAAAAAUCGACCGAGUUGACACAGGAAAAUGCAUGGCAGGAGCAGUAGAAGCAAGAUGAUUCCCGGGAAUUGACCCUUUAUAGUAUUGAUAGCAUACUACUUGCUACAAACAAGUUCAGUAUGACAAGUAAACUUGGGCAAGGAGGGUUUGGCUCUGUUUAUAAGGUAAGACCAUUCUGCAGGACAUUGUUAAUGAAAAUAUUUCAAGGUCUAAAAGCUAUGUGAAUUGCAAAGCAGGGGAAGCUGAAAGAUGGGAAAGAGGUAGCUGUGAAAAGACUUUCCAGUACCUCAGCCCAAGGCGUUGAAGAGUUCAAGAAUGAGAUCAUCCUUAUAUCGAAACUCCAGCAUCGAAAUCUUGUUAAACUCGUGGGUUACUGCAUUGAAGGAGAAUAAAAGAUUUUGGUAUACGAGUGCUUAUCGAAUAAGAGCUUGGACACCUUUCUUUUUGGUUGGUUGUUUUUAUCUCGGAAUAACUAUAUUUCUAUAAUGUAUUUUCUGCCAUAGCAUUAGAACUUGAAAACUAUUCUUGUCUGUCAUGUUUGCUAGAUUCAAGAAAGAAGGCAGAACUUGACUGGGGCAAACGAUUUCAAAUAAUUCAGGGGAUUGCAAGGGGGCUGCUCUACCUCCAUCGAGAUUCUUGCUGUAGUAAGCAACAUUCUCUUGGAUGAAAAGAUGAACCCGAAAAUUUCAGAUUUUGGGCUAGCACGAAUGUUUGAGGGCACUCAAGUUUUGGUGAACACACGAAAAAUUGUUGGAACACUGUAAGCUCUCUAGGCCUAUUUGAAUUAUCAAUUCAUUGAGUCAAACUCUUCAAGCAGACAGAAAUGAUUGAUUUACCACAACGAACAUCUCUGUUCAUGCAUGUUUUAUCCCCAUUGUCUAUCGAUACAAUCAAAGAGUACAUAAUGUGUUUAACUUAACUGCAGUGGCUAUAUGUCUCCUAAGUACGCCAUGGGUGGAAUAUUUUUCGAGAGGUCUGAUGUCUAUAGCUUCGGAGUGUUGCUACUGGAGAUAGUAAGCGGCAAAAAGAACACGUCCCUGUAUGACUAGGGAUAUCUGAAUCUCCUUUCCUACGUAAGUCCCAAAUUGCAAACUUAAUCAAUAUCAUAAGUUUGCUGCAAUAUUAUGACAGUGUUCUCACUUACAGGCAUGGCAAUUGUGGAGUGAUGGCAAAGCAUUGGACCUAACGGAUGUAGCAAUGGCUGUUAGCUCUCCUUUGGAGAUAACAAGAUGCAUCCAUGUUGGGCUUCUCUGUGUUCAGGACCAUGCCGCGGAUAGACCAAACAUGUCAAAUGUGGUUCUGAUGUUAAGUGGCGAGUCAAAUCUUCGUUAGCCGAGGCAGCCUAUAUUCACUUUCCAAGCCGAAAUGCCAAAUCGUUCUAUUCCAUCACAGCAAGAAAGCAUCCGGUUUGUUAACACUAUCACCAAUACAUUGGUCAAAGGAAGAUGACGACUAUUUAUUUUCAUUUUUAUUUUCCUUUUUUUGGAGAUUAUUUUCUUAUUAUUUUUUAAGAUUUCAGCGUUUAUUCAAUUCAAGGAUGACUUUAGUCCACUCUGAACAAAAGGUCGAACGGGCUGCUCCCCUUUAUAUAUGGAUUUUAGGCUGCAAAGUAGGGGUUUAGAAUGUACACUUUUUUGACCGAACAUAAUCGACGCAGCAAUUUGUUCUAAUUUAUAGUAGCCAGAACAGUUGUUAUAAUUAAGGAGAACUACCAAGUAAUUGCCAUCACUCUCCUCACCAGUUGCAUUUUGAAGAUUCGAUUUCCUGGGUUUUUGGACGAAAGAUAUCAUUACCAAAGACUAAAGUCCCCCCAAGAGAAGCAUGAGCAUUGGCGCAGGACAAAGUAUUUCCAGCUUCAGCUUCAGUAUGAUUCCCAAAUAUGUUUUACCUUCUUCAGAUUUGAUAAGAAGUCAUCUAUACCUGCGGCAAUUAAAUGUCAACUAGUCAUCAAUUCAAUGACUGAACAAUUCAAUUCGGAUAAGCUUCGAAUGAAAAUGGAAGGCUAAUGUCAGCUAGUGAUCAAAAUCGGAGCCAUGUUAUCCUUAAACUGAAGAGAUGAAGAGUUCCUGGUUUGCCUGGAACCCACAUAAUAUCUAGCUUAAUUGAACAUUAAACUUGCGGGGAAAAUUAUCUUAUUAAUCCUAAACCUAUUGUAGAAAUGCAAAUUCAAUCCUAAUAUUUUCACUUUUUUGCAAAUUCAUUCUUGUGCAAAAUUAUAAUAUAGUCAUUUUGGACAUUUUUUGUUGGAAAUCGCUGGCAUGCCACGUAGGACGACGAUGGCUUGAUUGCUACAUUAGUGAUUUCUAGCAAAAAUUAGCCGGAAAGACAACGUAUUUCACAUAAAGGUUAAAUUAGCAAAAUGGAAAAGUUUUGGAUGGAAUUGAUAUUUGUAUAAUAAAUUUAGGAUUAAUUGGACUAUUUCCGGGAAACUUGUGUUAUUGCGUUGACAAAACAUUUGGCCAACAAGUUUCAUCAGAAGCUGCUUUCACCCCUCUUAAUGUUUGUACAUUUUAAAGUACAGUCAAAUUUGAACAACGGUCAAGAGAAGAACGCCGAUUUUAUUGGCUUCUCAGCCCAAACAACAGUUUUAAAAAGUCAACGUUUGACUCACGAUGAAGCUUCUAUUGCAUAAUCCAUACUGAGUUGUCAAACUACAAUGACAUCCUGAUCUCUUGGCAUUCUGGAAGUGCAUAUGAACUGGCAUAGGCAUCAUCAGCUUCCAAUAUAAAGCUAAUUUUGUACUAUAGCAAGAUGGCUAAAGCUAUCUCUAAGAGGAUUUAUGGCCUCACACCUUUGGCAAAGUGCAUCGGUUUGCAGAAAUCUCGCCUUCCUAUCAGAUUUGCAGGCAAAACCGAAAGGCAAAGAAUCGGGAGCCUCUUAACAUCCUGAAGUAAGCAACAACCAAACACAGUUGGCUCCUAUUACAAUGUUGCUUAGGAUGUGUCUCUCCGCUUCCUUGGUCAUGGUCUUCCUUCUUCUGGCACAUCAUAGCACUGCAGUUUAUAAAAUUACUGCAGCCGAACCGCUCUUUCAGAACCAAACUCUUUUCUCCUCUGGUCAAACCUCUAAGCUCGGUUUCUUCACCCCCAACCAAUCAGCUAAUCAAUAUGUGGGCAUAUGGUACAAGAAUGCGUCUCCUUCCAAGAUCAUCUGGGUCGCCAGUAGAUAUACGCUGCUUGCAUAUUUAGAUCACUCGGCAAAAUUAACAAUAGGCAGGGAUGGGAAUUUGAAGCUUGUGGAUGAGCAACAGAAGGUAGUUUGGUCCACCAAUGUUUCUGUUCAGUCAAACUAUACUACAGCAAUGCAUUCAGAUGUAGGAAACUUUGUUCUACAAGAUGGGAAUUCCAUUGAAAUAUGGGCAAGCUUUGAUGAUCCAAUUGAUACUUGAUAAAACUAGUACUAACACUUAGAGAGGGGUAAAUAAGUAUUUGAAAGAAAUCUUCAAAUAAAAUAAAUUUCUUGCAAAGUCUAGAAGAAAAUCAGAAUCACAAGAUUCCAGACUUCUCCAAUAUUCGGAAAGUGUGCAACGGACUUUAAAUGAAGUGGAUAAAGAGAAAAAAGUGCACGCAAAUUUUUUUAGAUCAAGCCUACGUCCACUCUUCUAUAUUGACAACCUACUUAUUGAAUUCCACUAUAUGAUCAAUUAAGAAAUUACAACUUGGUGAGUAAACAAUCAAUGGUAGAAAAUUUUCAAUUUGUUUUCUCUCUAUAUCACACCUUUUAAAGCUCAUAGAUGAAAACUAAUAACAUGAGAGUAGCUUUAGACUUUGGAAUCUCAAAUUCACGUUCCCACACCGAAUAAACUCCUUUCAAAACUCCUUCACCCCAUACUAGCCAUUGGUAAUCUUCGGAGAAACUUUCUUCUAAUCAAGUCCUUGGACAAAAUCAAUUAAAGGAAUCUUGUGGCUAUUGAAGUUAGGAAUAAAAAAUUUCACCUGAUUAUGUUCACUCAUAUAAUCAGAAUCUCGAUUUUUAUAAAUAGAUACUUCCCAAAAAGAAAGUUGUUUUUAAAAUUGGUUUCAUCAAUUUGUGAUUGAAUUUAUAAGGUAAGUGAAAUCCUUCGUUAGAAAGCUAGAUCUAUUCUGGUGCUGCAGCAGGGGGGCGGAGACUGGCUCGGCAGAGGGGGAUUGGGAGUCGCAAGUGCUGCAGUAGGGCGCGGAGGAGCGGCAACCAGCGCGGCGAGGGGAUCAGGCUGCUGGCGCGGCGAUCGUCGCGGCUGCCGGUGCGGCAGCGGCGUCGGGGGGCUCGGACUGCAAAGCAAGGGCGGAGGUGAGGCGGAGCUUCGGCCGCUGGCGUCGGCAGCAGCGGCGGCGAGUGCAGGGGGGGGGGGGGGGGCGGCGUUCCGGCGCGGCAGAGCGGGGCUGCGUGGCGGUGCUGCGGGCGGAGAUGGUGGGCAGCGGCGGCGUCGCAGCUUCGGGCAGAGACGGUGACGCGAGCUCGCGCGUGAGGGGAGAGAUCCGGCGGCAGACGGAACGGCGGCCGACUCGGGCGGGCUGGCGGAGGGGCGGUGUGGCUCGGAGACCGGCUGAGGAUGGCUCGGAGCGGCGGCACAGGGGAUCGGCCACGGCGGCGGAGGAGCUGGCGAAGAAGAACAGUGCUUUUUAUUUUUUUCUGUUUUGUGUUUUUUUCUUUUAUUUUUUCUCACCCUCACGUCACUCUCACGUCCCUUCUCUCAGUUCUCUGUUGCACCCGCUCUCUGCACUCUUUCAAAAUUUCAAAACCCCACUUUGGUGUUGACUUUGACCCAAAAACCAGAGAAAACCCCAAAAAACGAAAAUAGAACCCCCACUAUGAAGUGAUAAAAAGAGAAGACCACCCCACCCCCCUUGUCCGUACGCGACCCGGCUUUUAUAAGUGGGAGACUUAGUUUUUGUGAAAUAUUUUAUUUCCUUUUUCAAUAUGCAUGAAAAUCAAUUUUGCUUAUGCUUAGCCUCCUUGAAAUAUAUGCACUCACUCGCAAUAUUCUCUUUUAUCUUUUUUCUAAUAUUUCAUCCGAAAUCUUCCUUUUUGCCAAAAAAAAUAUGUCCAUCGAUGUAUAUUACCUGAAUAUAUGAAAAAUCUCCUGUCAUAUAAUUUAAUAUUGGAAAAUUUAUUGUUCAUCUAUCGUCAGUCCAAUGCAAAUGGAAUAAAGUAAAAUAAAAUAAAAUAAAUGCUCCUAAAACUAUAUGUUAUGCAAUUAAUUCUAAUAUUUUUGUUUAGGGGUAAAUAUUAAUCCUUAAUUUUUAAUGCGAUAAAUAAAUGACUUGGUCGCUAAAAAUUUAGGUGUCAACUGGAACCUUCACUCGUGUUCUCUCGCCAACCCAAAUCACAUGGCCUUAAGUCAUUUCAUUGCACCACACAUGGACUUUGUUCGAUGUCUUGGAUGACACGUAAGGAAUCUGAAUUUGUGGACCAAAAUGUGUAACUGUGACGCUAAGUCAAAUUUGAACAGCGGCAAGGAAUAACCCUCACAUCGAACAGUCAAUGAAGAAUAGUUUCGUUCGUUUCAUGGAAAAUAUUCUCUAGAAAGUCAUUUUCUUGAAAAAUGAUUAUAUUUUCCGGUAUUCGAUUCAAACCUGAACUUUGAGUGGAAAAUAUUUUCUACCGUUCGUUAGUUAAUUUAAUUAUUUGGAAAAUAUUAUGAAAAAAUUAAAUUUUAAUAUUUUUAAUUGACCAAAAAUUUAGUUUUAUUUUUAUAUUUUUAAAAAUGAAUUUUAAUUAUUUGUAUUUUUAAAAACUCAUUUUUUGUAUUUUUCUUUUUUCCUUCCUCCUUCCUCCUCCUUCCUCUGCCGUUGCAUGCCUGAUGAGCCGACUGCUCGGCAACUGACCAAGACCCAGUUGCUCGAUCCAGCAAGCUCGAGGCUAGGCCGAUCUCACCAGAGCUCGAGGUUCGGCCGAUCUCACCAGAGCUCGAGGUUCGGCCGAUCUCGCCCGAGCUCAUUGGAUUUGGCAACAAAGCUCGGGCUCGCCUAAAUCGGGAGCUCAAGCUCCAUCGCCAGAUUCGAUGAGCUCACGGCUCGCCAAAGCCCAACAAACCUCUGGAGAGCUCGGGCAAGUCCCAAGCCUUGCCCAACUCGCCAGAUCUGGUGAGGCCCGAGCUCACCGGGCUCGGGCAAGCUCCCGCUUCACCAUAUUGGGCUAGGCGAAGCCUCGCCGGCCUGGGGUGAGGCUUAAGCUGGCUCGCGGUUGGUCGCCAACCGCCGCUGUGGCCGACGAUCGGCCAAGGCCAACGAAGGAGAUGAAAAGGAAAGAAAUAAAAAGAAAAAAAGAAAAGGAAAAAAAAUUAAAAAGUCGAUUUAAAAAAAAGAAAAAAGAAAAAAACAAAGAAAAAGAAAGCAUAGAAAAAAAAUGAAAAUGUAUUGGUGAAAAAAAGUAAGAUGGAAGAAGUUAUGAAAACUUUCGAAGGUUGUCUUUUUCAAUAAUGAAAAAUAUUAUUCUUAACUAAUUCAUUUUCCGUAAAACGAAAAUUGGAAAAAGUAUUGAGUUGACGUACAAUCACUUGAAAUUGGUGCUUAGACCAGAAAAGAUACUAAAGAUUUGGCUUUCCUCAGCACGGCUGAGUUUACGUAUGGAACCUUCACCCGUGUUCUCUCGCCAACCCAAAUCACACGGCCUUAAGUCAUUUGAUUGCACCACAGUUGGACUUCGUUCGAUGUCUUGGUUAACAAGUAAGCAAUUCGAAUUUGUGAACUGAAAUGUGAACUGUGACGCAGUCAAAUUUGAACAACGCCGGGGAACAACCCCCACGUUGAACAGUCAAUGAAGAUGUGGUCUUCUGAAAACCCUCGUGUUUCAGCCCCCUUUGAGCACAAAGGCCUCUUUGCUCACAGGAAAUCUCGUUCAUCUAUCCUUAAAUCUGCAGAAAGUGCAGAAUCAACCGAUCCAGCGAACUCACUAGGUUCAUUCAGUCAUUCUUACCAUGCGGCUCUUGAUUUCUUGGUGCUCUUGCUCGGUCAUCUUCUGCCUACUUCAGGCAAGUCAUAGGGCCAGCGGUGUAGCUUACAAUAUUACUCCAUCGGAGCCGCUCUUUCCGAACCAAACUCUCGUCUCCUCUGGCAAUAUAUUCGAGCUUGGGUUCUUCACGCCACGCGGGUCAGAAAAUCAGUAUGUUGGCAUAUGGUACAAGAACUUGACGCCUUCUAAGAUCCUGUGGGUGGCCAUGACAGAAAUUGAAAGGAAUGGAAAGGAAGAACCGAAGCUUUGUAUUUCAGUAUGAUUCUUGUACACAUUAAUUACACUAUUUGUAAUACAAGACUAAAGUGUAAAACAGGAAAGAAAUAUACAUUGAUUCUAAUUCCUAUUUUACCAAGUCAAUCAAUGAUUAAAUGAAGUAAUCAUUGAUACUCAGGAUCGAUGUUUCCCAAGUUAUCAAACCAUAUUUCCAACACUCCCCCUCAAGCUGGUGGCCUAUAUAUAUCGAGGACACCAAGCUUGCUCAAUAAGUAUGUAUGUUGUCUAUGGCAUAAUGGCUUGGUAAAAAUAUAUGCAAGUUGCUCCGUAGUUCCUAUUCCUCUUGUUGUGAUGACUCCUUCUCGAAUUUUGUCUCGAGUGAAAUGACAAUCGACCUCUAUAUGUUUAGUUCUCUCAUGAAAUACUGGAUUGGCGGCUAACUUGAGUGCAGCGUCAUUGUCACAGAAUAAUUUACUGGGUCCAUCGACUUGUACUCCAAGAUCUGCAAGCAAUCCUCGUAUCCAGAUUAUUUCACAAACAGUCUUUGCCAUAGCCCGAUAUUCUGAUUCUGCUGAUGAUAAUGACACGGUUGACUGCUUAUUUGUUUUCCAUGAGAUAAGAGAUUUUCCAAUUUUUAUGCAAAAACCAGUGAUGGAUCUUCUCGUCAUCGGACAAGUGACAUAAUCCGUAUCACAAUACGCCAUCAUUUUCAUGUCACAAUCUCGAGAUAAAAAAAUGCCAAGUCCUGAACAUCCCUUCAAGUAUUUUACCACUUUCAAGGCUGCAUUCAUGUGAGACUGUUUUGGCUUGUGUAUGAAUUGACUGAGUAUUUGCACAGCAUAACAUAUAUCCGGUCUUGUCAUCGUGAGAUAAAUCAGUUUUCCAACAAGUCGUUGGUAUACUGAUGGAUCUUCCAGUAGCGAAUCAUCGAUGGAAGGAGAUGAGCUUGAAUCAUAUUCAUGUGUUGUUAACUUUGUAUUCUGCUCAAUCGGGAUAAUUGCCGGUUUACAUCCUGACAAUCCUGCUUCAGAGACUAUUUCCAGAAUAAACUUUCUUUGACUGAGAGAUAUUCCUUUGUCAGACCGAGCUAUCUCAAUUCCGAGAAAAUACUUAGGAGAUCCCAAGUCUUUUAUAUGAAAAGUGGAAUGCAUAUAGCUUUUGAAUUUUGCAAUGGCUAGUUCAUUAUUCCCCAUGAUAAGAAUGUCAUCAACAUAUAUUAAAAGGUAAAUUGAUGAAGUACCUUCAGUCCAUGUGAACAAUGCAUAAUCAUGUUUGGAAUGCUGAAAACCUAUGUUGGUUAAAGCAGCAGUGAACUUGGCAUACCAUUGCCUAGAGGCCUGUUUGAGUCCAUACAGGGAUUUCCGGAGAUGACACACACGAGACUCCCCCUGUCUGCGUAAUCCCUGUGGAAGUUCCAUAUAAAUCUCUUCAUCCAGAUCUCCAUGCAAGAAAGCAUUGUUAACAUCCAUUUGAUGCAGUGGCCAGUUGCGAGAAGCAGCAAUGGAUAGAAAUGAGCGAACAGUGACUUCUUUGGCUACAGGAGAGAAUGUUUCAUGAUAAUCAAAUCCUUCCCGUUGCGUGAACCCCUUCGCAACUAAACGAGCCUUGUAUCGCUCAAUAGAUCCAUCUGCCUUAAAUUUGAUUUUAUAAACCCAUUUGCAGCCAAUAGGUUUCCGUCCUGUCGGUAAUGGAACAAUGUCCCAAGUAUGGUUCUCAUUGAGAGCCUUGAGUUCAGCUUCCAUAGCAUGUUGCCAUUUAGCAUCAUGUGCCGCUUCAGAGUACGAUGACGGUUCCUGUUCUUCAGAAAUUCUACUGAUGCAACACAUGUGUUCUGAUGACAAUCUACUAAAGGAAACAUAAGAUGAUACUGGAUACUGCGUACUUGGACAAUCCAACGUAGGACAUAUAUAAUCUUUUGUCCACGUAGGGGGUCGAAUAUGACGUCCAGAACAUCGAGGCUACUCAAUUCUGUUUUCUUCUGAUAAUACGGGAGAGGGACUCUGUUGAGUCAUCGACGAAGAGGCUGCUGAUGGAGAAUUUGAUGAAGGAUCUGUCUCAGGUAAAGAUACUGGUGAGUCGAUAGCUUGAUUAGAAUUAUGUGUCAUCAUCGGCAUAUGCUGUUCUGGUGCAAUGAAAACAUACUGAUGCGAAGCAAUGAGAUCUUCUUCUAACAAAAAAGGUCGAUGAUCUGACUCUGAAGUAGAGGAUGUCGACGUAGUCUCUUGAAAAGGGAAAAUAUCUUCGUGGAAGAUAACAUCCCUACUAACAAAAAAUUGUCCUGUAGAAAUCUCCAUAACACGGUAGCCUUUCUAUAGUGGGGGAUAUCCCAUAAAAAUACACCGAAUGGCACGAGGAUCCAUUUUACUUCGGUGACCCAGAUUUGCCGCAUAACACAAACAUCCGAAAACUCGAAGAUGAUCAAUUUCUGGUUGUUUUCCAUAAAGCAAUUCAAAAGGAGUUCGCCCAUUAAGAAUUCUAGUAGGCAUGCGAUUGAUCAAAUAGGCUGCAGUAACUACACAAUCACCCCAAAAAUCUUCAGGUAUGGAAGCUUGAUAUUUUAAAGCUCGAGCUACCUCUAAGAGGUGGCGAUGUUUUCUUUCAACAAUUCCAUUUUGUUGGGGUGUGUAAUUACAUGAACUCUCAUGUAAGAUUCCUUGAGAAGACAAGAAAGAGUUACAUUCCGCAGAAAAAAACUCACGUCCAUUAUCAGUGCGGAUCUUUUGGACAGGUUUGUCGAAUUGAUUUUUAAUGAGAGAUAGAAAAUUCGACAGUGUUGAAAAAGUUUGACUCUUGGAUUGCAUAAGAAAAACCCAAGUAGCUCGAGUAUAGUCAUCAACAAUGGUUAAGAAGAAUCGAGAUCCAUCACGAUGUGGAGUGUGAUAAGGUCCCCAAAUAUCCAUAUGUAGCAAGGAAAAAACACUAGUGGAUCUAGAUGUGCUAAUAGGAAAAUGUGUCCGAGAAUGUUUUGCCAAUGGACAAAUUGGACAUUUAGGAUAAGGAAAUUUUGCGGUAUGACCCAAACGUUGAUGAAAAACAAGAUUUUUAUUACUAGCAAUGGCAUUACAAGAAAUGCUCUUAUUGAAUAAUUCAAAAUUCCCUUGAGGAUCAAUCCAAAAAUAUAGCCCUUCUGCAACACUACCCAAGCCCAUCAGUCUGCCAGUCAAAAGGUCCUGAAAGAAACAAUCAUUGCGAUUGAAUAUGGCACGACAAGAAUUAUCCUCACAAGCUCUUGAGACUGAUAAGAGAUUGAACUCGAAAUCAAGAAUGAAUAGAACAUUUUUGAGAAUAAUAUCUGGACUAAGGUGGACAGUACCAAUUUUGGUAACAUGAGUGGUAUUUCCAUUUGGGAGGCGAACAAAUACCGAAGAAUAUGGCCUCUUUUGAAUACUAGAAAAUAACCGCUCAUUGCAAACUAUAUGAUCACUGGCACCCGAAUCAACUAUCCAUGUAUCAACUGAUAUUGAAUUUUCCUUGUAUGAAGAAGUACCUGAGAAAUUCGCAGCCUUAUCAUUGGUUGCUAGCUGAUUUAAUGCCUUCAUUAUAUUCUGAUACUGGUCUUGGGUAAUUAUAUGAUUUGCCCCAUCAGUCCUUCGUGCCGAAACCUGGUAAGCAGCAAUUUCUUUUUCCUUCUUAUCACCUGGCUUUCCAUGUAAUUUCCAGCAUGCAUCAAUAGUAUGAUGAGGACGCUUACAAUAUUCACAAUAUUUACCCUUAAUUUUGGAAUUUUGCCCAAUAUUUUUUAUGGAUGACGUGGCAUUUCGUGGGCCUCCGGAUGCCCUAUAUGCGGGCGCUGUCGUGGCCGAAUAGGGGCCGUUCGAUUCGGUCGGACUGGCGAGCCAAUAUGAGCCGUCCAAUCUCUUAUGAUAUGGACCGUUGGAUCCUAAAUCUUGGAUCAAACCACAGCCGUCCAUCUUGGUUCCAUCCCAGCCGUCCAUCUUAGGGUUUUCACCUAACCCAAGUCCAGCCCCAUUUCGUCCGCCCCCUCCUUGCCCAAAGCUCUCGGUUCCUCCACCUACUCCGCGCGACGUUUCCCCAGCAAUCCCGCGACCGCAAUGGACUCCGCGCGCCAUUUCUCCAGAUCUGAAGCUGGUCUGGAGAGCAGCAAGGGCGACUCCUUCGCCGGUUCUGCCAUGCUCAGCCGCGGCUUGCCGCUGGCUCUCCUCUUGGACCGCCAGUUGGUAGAUCCGGCCGAGCGAAGGUAACGGAUCCAUCGCCAAGAUCUGCGAUCGAAAAGGUGAGUAUGUGUCGUUUAGGAUAAGUAGAAAUCUAGUCACUUUUUCCCGCUGCUUAAUUUUUCGGUACUGUUGCAGCGUCGCUUCGGGUCCCUCGAGGCGUUCUUCGGCUGCCUCGAGCUCAUUCCAGAGAGCCGAGAGCCGAUUGAAGCAGGUAGUGACCGAUUGAUUCCCUUGUUUCAAAUCUGAAAUCGCCUGGGUAAUAGUGAAGAUCUUCGCUGGAUCGAGACGCCCAUACAUCUCUCGGAUGUUCGCCCAAAAAGUUUUCGAGUCCUCGGUCGGUGGUAGCCCCGCUGCAACGUCUGGAGCAAGCCAAUUUCCAAUCCAGGUACGCACUAAUUGGUUGCAUUUUUUCCAGAAACGUUGCAGUCGUUCGUCGGUCGGAUAGGGGACGGUGCCAUCAAGGAAACCGUCCUUGUCCUUCGUUACAAGUGCUCGCCGGAGGUCUCGAGCCCAGGCGUUGUAGUUGUCCUGUCCAGUGAGCUGCAUGUUGAUGAGUUUGAGUUCCGGUCCGUCGGCCGUCGUCGUGUGAAGAGGAUCUCCGGGCUCGGGACGGCCGCCGUUGACUGGAAACGCGUAGGUCAGAAACCCGGGGUGGAAACCGGGUUGUGGAACCGGGUGGGAAUCCGUAGGGAUGGAUCCAGGUCCUGCAGGUCCUGUUCUUGUCCAGCCCGACCCAUCGUUUGGGUAAUUCUCCCCAGAGGGUCCGCCUUGAAGGGGGUACCAGCCGAGGUAAGGCCACUGGAUCGGUCCUUGUGGUUGGAACGAUGACUGAGCAGGUAUCGAUGAAGCAGUGGCUGAUGAUCGAGCAGGUAUCACCCCUUCUUCUGUUGGGUCGACAAGUGCUGGAUCAAGGAUCUGUUGAGGUGAAUUGGAGGCUUCUUCCAUUUGUUGGUUUUGUCAAGGUUUUUUUUUAGAGCAGAGUAAAAGAAUUCAAUUCGGUGGCUGAUUUGUUUUGCAGGUUGAAGUCGCAACAGCAAACCAGAAAAGAACCGAAAAGCAAUUUGAAGAUGCGGAAGCUUAGGUCAGAAAAGAUCGCUCUGAUACCAUGACAGAAAUUGAAAGGAAUGGAAAGGAAGAACCGAAGCUUUGUAUUUCAGUAUGAUUCUUGUACACAUUAAUUACAUUAUUUGUAAUACAAGACUAAAGUGUAAAACAGGAAAGAAAUAUACAUUGAUUCUAAUUCCUAUUUUACCAAGUCAAUCAAUGAUUAAAUGAAGUAAUCAUUGAUACUCAGGAUCGAUGUUUCCCAAGUUAUCAAACCAUAUUUCCAACAGGCCAAUAGGGAGCGGCCACUUGUGUACACAGAUUGGUCUGCAAAACUAACGAUAGACAGUGAUGGGAAUUUGAAGCUCAUGGAUGGACAAGAAAAUAUAGUUUGGUCUACCAAUGUCUCUAGUCCGUCCAGUUAUACAUCGGCGACGCUAUUAGAUAGUGGGAAUUUUGUCCUGCAAGAUGGAAAUUAUAGCGAAAUAUGGGGAAGCUUCGAGGAUCCGACGGACACUCUUCUUCCAACAAUGAAGAUAGGAGUAAAUGUCAGGACUGGAGUGAAAAAGUCUUUAAUUUCCUGGAGAAGCGACAGUGAUCCAUUCCCUGGAAGUUUCUCGACUGGAAUGACAUCCGAGACGCCACCUCAAGCUUUCACUUGGAAUGGUUCGACCCCUUACUGGAGAAGCGGGCAAUGGGACAAAUCAAAAUUUAUCGGCAUAUCAACCAUGGACCAAUCAUACUCGAGUGGCUUCACUGUCCAGCAGGAUACUCAGCAGGGAACCACUAACUUUUCAAUGAAUAGAUACAAUUUCUUUGGAUACAUGUUCAUUUCUCCCGGAGGAUCUCUCAAGAUAAUGUACUGGGAUGAUGGAGCUAAGGCAUGGUUGAUGGAUUGGGCAGCACCGAACAAUACUUGUGAGAUUUAUGGAACUUGUGGUCCAUUUGGAGUUUGUAACUCACUGAAUUCGCCUAUUUGCAGAUGCAUAGAUGGGUUUGUGCCAAAGUCAAAUGAAGAAUGGAACAGUGGAAACUGGACCAGAGGAUGUGUAAGAGAGAUGGAAUUGAAUUGCCAGAAAAACACAAGCACAUCGACUUCUACAAACGUAAAGAAAGAUGCAUUUUGGCAAAUGAGCCAGAUGAAACUACCCGACUCUGGGAACUAUAUAUCAGACAUUGGAGAUGAAGAAGAAUGUGAAAGCUGGUGCGGGAGCAAUUGUUCUUGCUUGGCUUAUUCUUACGUCAGCACCAUUGGAUGCAUGGUUUGGAGUAAAGACCUCAUUGAUCUUCAGGAAUUUCCCACAGAUGGGGAAGAUCUAUUUGUUCGAGUUGCACAUGUAAAAGCAGGUUAGAAAUUGUUUCAUUAAGAUGAGUUUGAGUCGACACCAAUCAUCUUUUACAUAACUCUCUUUCCCAUUUCAGGAGGAUCGUGGCACAAAGCAGUUAUCAUCAGCCUAAGUACUAUUGCAGGGAUUAUGUUCUUUGCAGUAUUUGUUUUUGUUCUUUGCAAAUGGAGAGCUAACAAAACAGGUACACCUGAAAAAUCGACGGAGCUGACACAAGGAAAUGCAUGGAAAAAGCAGUUGAAGCAAGAUGAUUCACUGGAAUUGACCCUUUAUAGUUUUGAUAGCAUACUACUUGCUACAAACAAGUUCAGCACGACAAGUAAACUCGGGCAAGGAGGGUUUGGCUCUGUUUAUAAGGUAAGACCAUUCUGCAGGACAUUGUUAAUGAAAAUAUUUCAAGGUCUAAAAGCUAUGUGAAUUGCGAAACAGGGGAAGCUGAAAGAUGGGAAAGAGGUAGCUGUGAAAAGACUUUCCAGUACCUCAGCCCAAGGCGUUGAAGAGUUCAAGAAUGAGAUCAUCCUUAUAUCGAAACUCCAGCAUCGAAAUCUUGUUAAACUCGUGGGUUACUGCAUUGAAGGAGAAGAAAAGAUUUUGUUAUAUGAGUACUUGUCGAAUAAAAGCUUGGACACCUUUCUUUUUGGUUGGUCUUUUUUUUUUUUUUUUUUUUUAUCUCGGAUUAACUAUUUUUCUAUAAUGUAUUUUCUGCCAUAGCAUAUAAACUUGAAAACUAUUCCUGUCUGUCAUGUUUGUUAGAUUCAAGAAAGAAGGCAGAACUUGACUGGGGCAAACGAUUUCAAAUAAUUCAGGAGAUUGCAAGGGGGCUGCUCUACCUCCAUCGAGAUUCUUGCCUUAGGGUCAUACAUCGAGACUUGAAAGUAAGCAACAUUCUCUUGGAUGAAAAGAUGAACCCGAAAAUUUCAGAUUUUGGGCUAGCACGAAUGUUUGAGGGCACUCAAGUUUUGGUGAACACUCAAAAAAUU
rnacentral:lncRNA from 1 species